AUCAUUCAAGAAGUUCAUAUACAUUGUACGACUGAAUCUGAAAAAGAAGACACCAUUUGACUUGCUAUGAACAAAGUAUAAUGAUUCAAACUGCAAAUUACUAAUAGACUAUCUAUAGGUUAUUAUGAGAUUUCUUAUGGUCAACUUAAUCUGAUGGACAUGAGAUAAACUCUUGUGAGAAAACUAAGGAAAUCUGAUUCGUAGGACGAGUUUUUCUCUUUCUUUUACCAUGGUUCUAAUGGAGCUGUGGUAAGCCAGCAAGGUGUGACAUUUCUUAUGGCCACCUCUCGCAAAUGCUAACGUGCCAGCUUGCCACCACUUUUUGUGUGAAAUGAAACGAUUGGCUCUCACUCUUAUCACCCAUAUGUCAUAUUUUCAGGCUUGAUGUUAAAGAACGGUGGGAGAGGAAAGCGAACAUGUGAAUUUCUGAAGAUCGUUUAAAUUCUCGGAGCAAAGCAAACCCUCCAUGUAAAUGGGAAAAAAAAUCUUUAUGCCUUCUUGAUGACCUAGUUGAAUGUAUUCAUCUUUCUGUUAGCGGGCAGAAUAGCUGGGCGAAAGCCACAAGAUCUAGGCCACAAAUUUCCUGGUUUGCAGUUUUCUAUCUGAUGCCUUGUGCAGGUUAUGUAGCUAGAUAUUCCUAUUUUAAGUACCUGUCCAGAUCUCUUGUUGGGUACUUCAGGCCCACGCCGCGCAGGUUAUAGAACAUCCUGCUUAGCGAGACAGGGAAGGUAUUGAAAAUCCUGUUUCAAAUGUUGUGUACGAUUAUGACAUGCUGCUGUUGCUGCUUUUACAGCAAAUUAUAAGUUUGUCCCGGUUUAUUUUACCUCCCUGAGCCCUUGUGGGCCACUUGCAUGAUGGCUUAGCUAUUCUUCUGUUCUUACUAUGAUCUCCCUGAAGCGUCCAGAUCAGAACUGAAAGUUAUCUUGAACCUCUGUACAUCCAGAGAACUAGGAUGGGAUUAAAAAAGCAAAGUAAGGGAAGAGUUGAGAUUCACUCACAUAUUGCUGAUGCCAAGAUUGAAGAGGCCGACAUACCUAAUCUGAACGCUGAAAUAUACCAUGGCAGACAAACAUCUGUUGAUAAUCUUGUGACGUGAUCUCCUGUUAUCCUGCCUUCAGAUGAUGUUAUUUUAAGCCAGAAUCCUCUGCAUGACUAGAACGGAGUAGCUAAGAGAGAGAACACACAGCCCAGUUAAUUGGGGGCAGUUAGGGUGGUUCGCAAUCUUAGGGCCUCUUUGAUUCAUAGGAUUUUGAAAACAUAGGAAUAGGACAAGUGUAGGGUUGGAGUGGCAUGCCCAUUUGAAUCCUAUAGAAUUAGCAAUGAUUGUUUGAUGCCACAGGAAAAACAAAGAAAUUGUAGAAAGAGGUUGGAGUGGAUGUUAAUUUUCCUAUGAAACGUAGUAUAGAAGAUUCCAUAGAAAAAAUUCCUAUGGGACCUAAUCAUAUGAAUCAAAGGACCAACAUAGGAAAAAAUCCUAAGGAUUUCAAUUCUCCAGAAAUUUUAUAAAAUUCUUUUGAAUCAAAGAAGCCCUUAUCAUGCGAAGUGCCAUGGAGGUAGGUACUGGAAUGGUUGUGAAUCAGUCAGUGAUGGUGGUGUUCGUCUCACGGAGACGGGAGAGGCUGCCAUAACUGUCAGCUCAAGUGAAAUGCUUGCUGCCUACUGAAAGAAAUCCGACGAAUGUCUUGAUCAACUUCGUCCACCUCGGCCCUCUCACAUGCCUCUUGAGAGCGCUUCGUGUCAGGACUCCUUUAGUUCGAACUACUGACUGGCUCUGUACAGAUGGUGAGAUCAUGCACCACACACAUGAAGUUUAAUUCAGUCGUUCGCACGGAUCAGCGGCACGCAUGUGUUGCGCACUGAACUCUCUAUGUAUCUCUCGAUUCAGAAACAGAACAGUGUAGAACUCUCUCAAUUACAGUAUGGAGUAAGCAACUAGCCCACCAUACUUAGAAGAAAACCAAAAUCACACCCCUAAAUUACGUACAACCAUGGAACGUAUGGUAUGGUUCUCAUGCAAGGGUGCAAUUAUGUCAACUGGUAUAAAAUGGUCACCAGAUGUCCAGAUCUAAUAUGUGGUUAUGCUUUACUUCGUUCAUGUGGAGUCCACCUGAACCCGUGGCUCCAAUUCAAUAGGAAAUAAUCGCAUGUCCACAACUUGACGUGCCACGAUUAAUAAUAAAUGAACAUUCUAGUCGCGAUUUCGCACUCCAUAUGCCACUUGUCUGCUGGGCCUGAGGACAUGUUAACAAUAUCCGAUUGUUUCCUUUGUUCCACUCUCUUUCGUUAGCAGAUUUUUUCCCCCCGAAAAAGGAGGACUACUCCUUGCCUCUGCAUCAAACAAAGCACAUAACCAUUCUUUCGUUAGCAGAUACGCAUGACUACGGUAGAUCGAAGUGUGAGGAUGGCAUGAUUGCAUCAUUUUAUAAUUCGACUAUGUUACAAGCAUUUGUUGCAAUUAAAUAAACAAAUACUCCCUCCGCCACGGUUUAGAAGGCACAGUUAAAUUUGCGUGUGUUUCCAUAAUAAACAAGGUUUAGGGCGCACUGCAUUUAUUUCUAGUAGCUAAUUAGUACUCCAUAUACUAUUUUUAUAUGCAUGCGUAGUGUGAAUGCUAUUUUUUAAUCCAUCUCACAACCAAUAGAUAACUACCUAGAUCCCAGAGAAUUUCCCCUUCUAAACCGUGACGGAGAAAGUAUAUAACUUACAACAAUUGAUUAUCGUGGGAUAACCUGCAUUGAAUGUGUGUGCAUGUGUGCACAACAAUGGUGCCUCGCAGGUAUCAACGAUGGAUGCAUCUGGGUUAGGUAAAACGAAGAGUGACUAUACUAAAAUAUGUAUGUAUACAUCUUUUUUUGCAGGGGAUACGUACAAAAAAAUCAAAACAUCUUAUAAUUCAUAAUGAAGGGAGGUCGAAGAUAAAAAAACAAAUGCAUCGCUAGACUAGAGUCCUGAAGUGGAUGGACUGUAUAUUACUCCUUCCGUUUCUUUUUACUUCGCAUAUAAAAUUUGGUCAAAAUCAAAUUACACAAAGUUUGACUAAAUUUAUAUAAAAAUAUAUGAACAUCUACAAUACUAGAACUAUAUAAUAUGAAAAUACGUUUCAUGGUGCAUCUAACAAUAUUGAUUUCAUAUUAUGAAUGUUUAUAUUUUUUAAUAUAAAGUUAGUCAAACUCUAUAAAGCUUGACUUUGACUAAGAGCCUGUUUGGGACUACUAUGCUCCUUAAAAUUCAGCUCCGCUCCAGAAAACACAAACCAAACCGGAUAGCUCCACGAUAUGCCGCUCCGUAAAAAAACUAGAAUCUAGGGUACAACUCCCAGUUUUUUAUGAAGCUCUUCAGGAGGUGCUCCAAAAAACUCUAGAAGCUGAAGUUGGGUGGAAAUUACCCACCACUGCCACCAGUAAGUGGAUACCCCUUCGUUUCUUCCCCCUCAACCAAUCAAAUAGAUCUUUACCACCAAAUUUCUUAUUCUUGAAGCUGAAACUAGAUGGCAGCCAAACAUUCUCUUUCGUAGUACUACAACUUCUAGAUGGAACUGCUCCAAAGUGAAUUUAGUGAAGCGAAACUGGUUUUUGUGAAGUGGAGCAGUCGCAAACAGGCCCUAAAUCUUACUCCCUCCGUUCCAAAAUAUAGUGCGCCCGCGCUUCCCGAGGUUCAACUUUGACCAUAAAUUUAACCAACGAGGCCAACUGCGGCGGGAGAAAAAAUUAUAUAAUUGAAACUUCUUUCAAAUACGAAUUCGCUGAUAUAAUUUUUGCUUCCGUCGCAAUCGGUCUUGGUAGUUAAAUUUACGGUUAAAAUUAAAACACGGGGAUAGAGGAAGCACUACGUUGUGAAAUGGAGGGAGUAUAUGCGGACUAAAAAGAAACCGAGGAGUAUUAACUCGAAUCGAAAACAAAAAGGAAGUGCACAAAACCGUAUGCUCUGUUCGGUCAUCUCCGACGGGUCGCAGUCUCGCUAGGGCUAGCGGUUGUUGGAACAACUGACCUGCUCCCUCUGCAUGCUCCCAUCCAUGCUCCCACUUCAUCUUAUGGCUGUUCUUUUCUCUUUCUCUUUUCUAAUCUAAUCAUUUCUCCCCCCCCCCCCUGAUUUUCAAGGGGUGGGACCGGACCUUAUUUUUUUCCAAUCAAAUCAAGCCACGUAUGCAGAAAGCAUGAAUGGGAGCAUCGGAAGCGAGCAGGCAAGACUCGUCCACAGUUUACUGGAUCGGUCGCAAUCACAGAUCACAACGGGUCCACUACUUGUCUGGUAGUAGGGGCGUAGGGCGAGACUGGCUGGCGGGCCCGGGGUCGCGUGGUCUGCCGCAGCCGGGCUACGCGCCGGCUCGUGCCGGGACCGUACUGCCACGCGCCCGCCCGCUCCACGCCUCCUCGCAGCUCCCGUUUCCUUGGGCGAAAACAAUAUGGCCACGGACAGGCACAGGUUGUACACGCAAUUUUUGCCUUGAGCAUGCUGAGGUGGACCGGCGAUUUGCCGUACAUCCAGGCGGCCGGCUACCGAGUUUUUUUUUCCUUUUGGCCGGCCACCGAGUUGACUAAAUGCAAAGAGGGAGUAAGGUACGGUGGUCCUCCAAGUACAAACUUACUUAAGCCGGUAGUAAUACUAUAAAUAGAGAUAAUGAAAACUAUAAAUUACAUAAAAUACAAUAUAGGAGUAUUGCAAGUUUGACAUUUUGAAACCUAACCCACUCCAUCGAUCAAAGUGGGUUUAAUGAAAGCGCACAUUAAGGAAAGAUGGUUAUCUUCUUCCACACAUUUUAGGUUUCAAAGUUGAGCACUAGCCAGCGGCAUGUACACUAGUUGAUAAAGGCGGCCUCCUCACAUAUAUUUCACGUUAUCUAGGGAUAAAAAACAUGUUAUAUUCCCACAAACGACAUGAUAAUACAAUGGGUUAUCUCUAGCGCUAAAUGUUUGCCUGAUCCUGAAAUUAUCAGGUGAUUAAAACUAAUUAAAAAAAAUAGAGAGAAGACAUCUCGUACAAUGGGUAGAAUGUCUCUUUUUCUUUAACUAAGAUAUUAGCUCUUCGGUAAGAGAACACAAUUUAUCUUUUUUCCCGUUUCUCUCUAUUCCAUCACCAUGUAUAUUGUGUGUCAUUGCUAAGAUAGCAUCGUGUACACUCACUAAGAAAUCAAUAUGAUAGAACACCACCAUAUAGCCUUGUUUCAAAAUAAUGUUGAGCAUGUAAUUAGCAGAAAAGAACUGACACAUUCACAAAGUGUUACAACAACAGAUGCCAAAUGUAAUAAUAUUCAAGGAUGUAUCCUAAUAAAAAGCAGCAUGAUACAUGCUCAACCUGACAAGCUACUAGGGCAAAACUUAUUGGGUGUGUGAAUUUGUGUACGAGCUGUUGAUGUACCUAGAUACAAUUUUUUUUUUACAAAAUCUAAUAUAUCGAUACCAAGAUGAUACCAAUUACACCGGCUUUUGCAACAACACUAUAUAGUACCUGGUCAAUACACUGGAGCCGAUGCAAGCAAUGACACGCAACAAGCAAACAUGAAUCCUUGUAUCAUCAUCACAAGGACAACAUAAAAUGUUUUAUUUCUCUUGCCAUGGAGUGGUAGUGCUCUUUGUGUUUGUCAGCUAGCUAUAACCCACAUGAAUCACCAUGAUGUGGACAUUCCUGAUUAACGCCUCCAUUACCCACAUACGCGAGAAGGAAAACAAUUGGUUAUCAACUUCCACAUGACUUGACAACUUUGAUUAAUAUGUUCGAGCAUAUUAGUCAUGACCUUACACUUGAGACAUUUUUUAGUAAUCCAAAGGGUCGCAUGUGAGUAGGCAUUUUUUUGGAUUUUGUUGGUCCUAAGUUGCCUUGGAGUUUUCUAUGUUUGAUUCGAUUUCUUAAAAGUGCAACUUCGGUUUAGCAAAUGCAACUCCAUUGAGCUACGCACAGAUAGCCCCCCUUUUGCCUUUAAAAGCCGAAAUGAGAUAAAAUUGCCGCUUGCGCCUAAGGCCGAUAGCUAGUAGAGAGAAAUUUGCACGGUAAAUCAUCGGUUAAAUGUAUAGUUCUUCCGCUAGCAUAUAUUCCCUCCGUCCGGAAUUAACUGUCGCUGAAAUGAGUGAAUCUACACACUGAAACACAUCUAAAUACAAUUAUUUCAGCAACAGUUAAUUUCAGGACGGAGGUAGUACUAAUUAGGCCACAUGCGAGAUGCUUAUAAAAGUAAUUUGGUUUUUAUUUGAGCAUUAGUGCUCAUUGGUAGGACAUAAACGCUUAAUUGCUAGUGUAUCAUGUAAAAUACCUACCUUGUGUUUGUGUGUUGAGCAUUAGCUGCUCAAUGAUUGUAAUCACGAUGUUGAGUAAUUAAUUACAAAGCUUUCUCCUUCUGUGAAAAAAAGGUAUGUGCUCCCUUCGUCCGGGCUUAUCGAGCGUCUCUGUAUCACAUGGCACAUAUGGUAAGCAAUCAAAACUAUUUAUGAGCAAACAAAAAGAUGGUCAUAAAUUUAACUAAUAAUAUAUAAAAUACAUGUCACAAAAAAUAUACCAUGUGAAUCCUCUUUUGAAUACCAAUCCUUAAGCGUAUGCUUUACUACUACCAUAUAUGCAUUAUAUUUUAUUAUUUAAUACAGAUGAUCAAACAUCAACCUAAAAUACGAAGGGGGCUGAUAAACCCGGACGGAUAAAGUAACAACUAACCAUAUCUCUUCCGAUCUACUAGAUCGAAGAAAAAAAGUACUACACUAACAAGAUAGGACCGCAGGAGUGGAAGAUAGAAAGAAAAGAUAAUGUUAUCUGCGUAGCCAUGCAUAUAAUGGAUUGGUUGACGGCGAUAUCACUUCGUUUUGACCAGAGACCAGCAUUUUGCCUCCCACCACCCUGCACAUGUCCGACACAAGGAUCGAUCCAGAGACACACUCAGAUCCUACUAGCCUCUGUCGCGCCAGAGUGCUAGCUAGAUUGGCACGCUGAUCAUCUCUAGAACGAAGAGUGGACCUCGUCGUGUUGCUCACUCACGUAAGCUUACCGACUGUACUCGGCAUGCAUGCUUCACAUACCCAAUUCAGUGCCUUUUCAAUUAGCAAGAUGCAUGCCGUAUCAAAUUUGGCUUGUCUAUUGGAAGAGGCAGACGUGGCUUGUUAAAGCGCGCGUGUAUCAAUCAAACUAGUCUAAUCCCCCCGGAAUCACACACGAUGGCAAGCAACACCACACCACCCACGGAAACCAUCCAAGAUGCCCACCGAAAUUCAAACCAGCGUGCUCUUUCUCAGGCUCCCCACGCGCGCGCGUGCAACGCAUUGCUCUGUAUAGAGCGAAAGCGGCGAGGCUUCGGCGCGCCCGUUCUCCGGCCCAAUAAACUACUCCACGACCGCGCAAACUCGGGCUAGAUUUUGAUGGCGCACGCCGCAGCAACCACUGAUCUGAAACCUGAUCUUUAUCAGGCCAAUUCCACCGCGCGACCCCAUUUUGUCCGGCCCUGUUUGUUUGGAGUAAAAUAAACAAAUAAGGCGGCCCAGCGCGCGACGGUCCGAACUCAUCUGAUCCGUUUUGUGUCCGGACCGACUCAUUUCGAGCACAAAUUUGCGCCGGGUUUAGGUCGUGGCGGACAGCGAACGAACGCUUCGAACGUCCGCGUCGGGGCCGCAUGGCAGGCGGCCACCGACCUCCCACCCGCCAACAUAAAUGCGCACGGGCGGGUGGCUCCACCUGUCAUCCGCACUGCGAAGGGUCGUCGUCCUUCUUAAAUGGGAAGCCGUGGACCGGUCGUCGUCCACCGUUCCCACUCCGCCCCCCCCCCCUCCCCGAAACCCUACAUCCUCGAAACCCUACAUCCUCGAAACCCUAGCCGCUCCCCGUCGUUGACCUCGCCGGUCGGCCGCAGCCAUGGGCCUUUGGAAGCACAACCGCAAGGGGAAGCACGACCGCGAGGCCGGCUCCUCCUCAGGACGCCGCCGCGGCUCCGUCAAGAAGGAGGAGCCCGCAUCACCGCCGCGCUCCUCCAUUCGAGCCCCCGCGUCUGCCCCCUUCACUAUCGCGCCCAGGGCCGUCGGCGAGCGCGACAGGCGGUACCUGGUCGUCGAUGUGUGUUGGCGGUAUUGGGAGACGAGGACGCCGGUCCCGUGGAGCGACGUGCACCUCCCCAACAACUGGCACCUCUUCGCGGACCGGGUCCCCGUCCCGGCGGUGCCAGCAAGUGGUCGUGCCAGACGCGAUGAGAUCGAGCGCCGCCGCCGCCUCCUCCCCGACGACCUAUUCCACGACGAGAGGUACGCCCCCGACUCUGUCCUGUGGGACACUUGGCUCCAGGACGAGCACGACGUGCGACGUGCGUCGUACUUCGCCGGCACGGUGUCGGGGCCGCGGCGGCCACGUCGGGAGGUGCGCGACCUGACGCCCACGCCGUCGCCUUUCCCAUCGCCACCUCCACCUCCUCGCAUGACAGCGGAGGAGGAGGCUCGAAUCAUGGCGCGUGUCAUGGACGACUCCACGUACACGCACAGUGAGCGCCAAUGGCCGGGCCUCGAGGAGACGAUGGCCCUCUCUGCGGCCGGCGACGUCGCCAUCCCCGAGCCGAAGGAGGAGGUGACGGAGGAGCCGCCGGUGGCCGCCUUCCACCCGGUCCUGGUGGGCCAGGGGUGGACCUAGUCGUGCACGGCGGAGCAGAUGGCGGCUGCCUGGGGGGCAACUGGUGCCCCACGCCGCGGCGGUCGCCGGAUCGCGACGCCUCGCCUCGGGAGGAGGUGGUGCAGGCACCGGCCACCUUCCAGCCCGCCGCCCCCGUGCACCGCGGACCACCGACCCAUCUCUGGACGUCGCCGGACUACGUCGACCUCUGCAGCGACGACGACGAUACCGGCGGCCACUUAAGACGGCGACGGCGACGACCAGGGCAUGGACGGGCGCGGCAGCGGCGCGCGGGUGGCUUUUUUUUAUUUUGUUUUUAUGUUAAUUAUGAAACUGGGUCGUUUAAGUGCGGCGUGAAAUUGGGCCGUUUUGUGGCCGUGACCUUUAUAUAUAUAUAUUAAGUUUUUUAAGUGCGUUUAUUUACUUUUUAGGCAUUUUAUUUAUGUUUUUUGUUUUUUUAAUCACGUUCAUCCCGGACAUGAUUUGGAAUGCGGUCGUGCGCUGGUCACACCCACGACCCAACGAACAAACGCGGACAUGGGCGACCGCAUCGCCGCCUCAAAGAAACAAAAUCUGACCAAACCGAACGUCCGUUUAGGAUCGCACGGUGGAGUUGGCCUCACAUACUCUCUCCUUGCAUUCCGGUGUCGACGGGAAUGCGCGCAUCACUCUCCCCGCACGCCGCAGCAACCACCCCCGGGACUGUUGCUAUAGCCCAAAGCGCCUUUUCUUUUCAGGUGGAAGAAGCAACCGCAUUCCACUCCUUUUCCCUGGCUAUAGCUUUUCCUUCCUGGCAGCUGCACACAUAUGGUGGCCUUGCUUUCUUUUCCGCCAAGUGUCCAUGCCAAAAAUGACCGGUGAAGUUAACGAUAAGGCUGUAGUUGUAGAGGAGGAGGUUCGCGAUAAGGUUAACUAGAGUUGGACUGAGAGGGACAUGGAGAAAUUGGAUUGCCUUUUGUGUUCUGGUAUGCAGUUCUGAUUUGUGCAUUCAUCCGGCCCCUGCUAAUCUACCACGCAAUCUUAAUAUAACGGCCUGGCGAAUUCAUUCCUUCAUCUCUCCCUGCGUUAUUUUCUUGAAAUGCUUGCCGAGAGGCAUGGGCAGGAGCUCUGGCAUUUCAUAUUAGAAGAAAACAGUUGUCGAGUUUUAAUGUGAGAAAACUGAGCCGCCCGGUGGAGAGGCCACGGGUAAACCUUCUUUUCAAAGGAAAAAAAACCAGUUAAACCAAAUAAUAUACUGAGUAAAUGCGUAGGUGCAAUGCACAUCGAUAUUAGAGAGAAAAUUAAUUACACAUUGAUAGAUAGGAUAUCAACUACGCAUUAAUUACAUGUAUAGUGUAGAUAUUUACAUUUGAUACGAUGUUAAUUGCACGCUACCACUGAACCAAUAUAGGUUGUUCGAUCGACAUGAUUAGAUGGCCAAGAUUUAUUGGAUCUGCCUUUUUGGGUAUUUUUAUAGUAUUGCUAUAGAUAGUGAUUCUUUUGUGGCAUAGAUAGUGAUAUAUUAGUAUGACACAAAUAUUACUCACUCCGUCCCAUAAUAUAAAAACGUUAUUAUUCAGUCAAAUAGACUCAAAAAAAAAGUGUGCGGGACUUGUAAUAAACACAAAAGGAGGUAUUAACUACGGCGGCCGCUCGCGGUCGACCAAGCAGGCGUGAUCCGGGCAGCGCGGGUCACGCGUUUAAAUUGUCUGCUGGGCCACGAGGGACUGGCGGCGGCUGAGCGUUGUGUGGGCGGGCCUGAGUGUGGGCCGUCGGCCCAGUGUGAGCUAUCCGAGGAUGGGCCGGGACUAGCUAGGUUUGUGGCCCAGGCAAAAACGGUGCCUAUUCCUCGCGACAUAGAACCUGCAUGCACGAGCAAGACCCUGCGUCGUGUUCCUCGGCCGCCGCCUAGGGUUCAUCGUUGCGCUGUCCCAGGCUUCCCCUCGUGCAUGAUGGGACGAGCGGUGCGCAUCCCCCCCUUGCGGCGUGCAUGGCGGGUCGCGGUGGGGCUCGGCCGCCGGGGCCUAAGCCGGUGGUGCCAGGGGCGGUGGCUGCGACGCCUGGGCCGCCGAUCCAGCAACAACAACAGCAACCCCCUCCUCGUUCGGGGACCUCGACCCAGCAGCUCCGAGCGGGAGGAGCUCCGCCGGCGCCAGCUCCUGCGCGAGCUCCGCCACCCGACGUGGUUGCGCAGCCGCAUGCAACCCGGAUGGAGCCGGUGCACGGGGCUGCCGGGGGGCACUAGCCUGUCGCGGAUCAUCAUGGAUCGCCGACGCGCCGUGGUGGCGGUGGUGGUGGCUCGGGGCAUCGUUUUCCAGCUUUUCGUAGCAGAGCCUUCGAUGAUGGCGGACAUCACCAAGGUCAAUGGGGGGACGACGGCUAUGAUGCGUACGGUGAAGGUCAACAUCGCGGCUCAUCCUCCUCGGGGCGGAGGGCGUGGUUAUGCCUGGCAGAGCGAUGGGACGGCAGAGCGUCUAUUUCUCGGCCCUCCGAGAGGUUUUGUUGAGGGGGCAUCCGGCCCGGACUACAGACAAAGAGCUGGUUUUAGAGGAACUCGGAACGGCCGCGAUGGCAAGAAUCGUUACCGUCUGCCACUACCAUCACCGACGUCGCUGAGCCGACGGUGUCUUCGGAGGUGGUUGGUCAGCAGACGCCCGCUUUGUCUGGCUAGGUCAUGGCUAUGGUGUCAGCUUUGGCUACUGCGGCGGAGCCCACGAACGAGACGGCAGUUGUAGGCUCUGUUGGAGCGCUUGACAGGCCGGGUGGUGAGAAAGUUAGCAAAUGGGCCCGCAAGAAAGAGGAAAUGCUUUGCUAUCGCUGUGGUGAACAGGGACACUUCAUUGCUGAAUGUACUGCUGAGCUUUGUGAUACUUGUUCCAAACGAGUGCAUGCUUCGGGAGAGUGCCCGCUUUUGCGUGAGCCCAUGCCGGGUGUUACGAUCUAUGAUGUGUGUUGCAUGGAGUUGAUGUUUUUCGGGUCUCCUAGUGCUACGGAGAUACCUGAUGUGCCUCAGAGUGCAACCACAAGGGUGGUGAAAGUUACCAAGGGUGACUUGACCGAUGCACAAAUCUUACACAGGCUGAAUGAGUUGGCACCAGGUAACCAUUAGUGGGAACUUAUCAGACUCGAGGAUAAUAUGUACAAGGUGGACUUUCCCUCGACUGAGGAUUUGGAGCGACUCUUGAGUUUCGGGUUGUGCAGAGUUCCAGGCACUGAGUGCAUCCUCGAGUUUCAUGAGUGGAAAAAGGUUGAGCCCAAAGAUAAACCACUCACUCAGGUUUGGCUUCGUUUCUCGGGGGCACCGUCCAAGCCACUGAAUGAUGUUCGAAUUGCGGCUAGCUUGGGGACGUUGGUUGAAAAAACCGAGAGGGUGGAUAUGGCCUUUACCUGUGCUCAUGGGGUGGCCAGAUUGCUUGUUAGCAUCCUCGAUAUUGAGUACGUGCCAGAUGUCAUUAAGUGGACCCAUAGAGGCAUGAUUUAUAACCUCGAGAUUGAGUUCGAGGACACCGAGCUUUUCUCAAAGGCUUUGGCAGCGAAUGAUGUUGACAAUGUUGACAUGCUGGAUAAGGAUGAUGGCUCGGGUAACAAGGAGGUGCGACAGGAUGACUGUGGACACGAUGCGUCUAACAUCCAGGGAUCUGACGUGACGGCACCCGGGAAAGGGACUUUACCAUCCACAACUGCACCCAUGAGCACCUUGAGAUUUGGUUAGUUCGAGCCUGCAUCCGCUCCUCCGAGAUUGUGGAGUGAUCGGGUGGAGCGUGAUGAUGUGUUUGAGCGAUCGCUUCCUACAUUGGAUUUUGUUGAUGCUAAUGCUCUUGUGGAUAGAGUUUGUUGUCGUGUUACCCUUGGUGGAGACUGUACCGACAACACCAGUAGCGUCUGACCUGGGAGGUGCUUCUCCGCGGGCGAGGAGCCCGGUCAGGACCGUUGCCGAGGAGGCCAUGCCACGGGCCAGCGGGGCGGUCAGACUGGGUGGGGGCGAGGGCAAGAGGCCUCCGCCCCUGACUCUCCCUUGGCGGCCAGACAGGGUGCGGGGCGCGGGCAGGAGGCCUCCACCCCUGCAUCUCCUUCGUCGUGCUCGGCUUCGGCGGCAUGACCGGAAGGGGGACAUGGGCAGGAGGUCUUCGUCCCCACUUCUCCCUUGGCGGCAUCUGUUUCACCCCGAGUGGCGUGUCUGGUGGUGACAUCGCCUCACUCAGCCGGGGGGACCAGGUCGGGAGGGGGGCGUGGGCAGGCGGCCUUCACCCCUUCCUCUCCCUUGGCGCUGACGGUUGGUGUGGUUCCGGUGGCGUCUUUGGGGUCCGGCCACCGGCCGAUGCUGCGGGGGGCUUCCAUGGCUCUAGGAGGUUGUUCGGCUGUUCUAGUUCAAUCGAUCUCUGUUGGGGGUUGGGCAGGAGGCCCCACCUCAAACGGACCCAUGCAAGAGGAGAUCAUUGCGUUUGGAGGGAUCCCAGAUCAUGUUUCUGAAGGAUGACAGAUGAGCAGUCGUCUUCAGGAGCAGCCGGAUGUUGAUGACAUGCAGCUGAGGUGCGCUAUGCGGGCGGCCAAGCUUCGUGACGUUGCGGUCACUACUGGUAUGUCAGUCAAUACGUCUAAUUCAAUUUUGCAUUUUUUCAAUGAUGAGAUUGUUCACAAUGCAAAUCAAUUAGGGGUCUCACUAGGUAGUAAUGGUAAUGAAAUCACUAGAUCAGUUAAUGAUAUCCUCGAUCUAGAAGUGGAGUGCGCUUUGGAAAUGAUUCGUAAUCUAGCUGUUGUUAAACCCAUGAAUGAUUCCGACAUAGACGCGUUGGGAUUCAGGGUUCUUGAUAGUUUUUGUGCGGAUCUUGCUCCUACACUUCCUGAGAUAGAGGAAGAUGAGGAUGUUGGAAAUAUGCCCUAGAGGCAAUAAUAAAAUGGUUAUUAUUAUAUUUCUUUGUUCAUGAUAAUUGUCUAUUGUUCAUGCUAUAAUUGUGUUAUCCGGAAAUCGUAAUACAUGUGUGAAUACAUAGACCACAACACGUCCCUAGUGAGCCUCUAGUUGACUAGCUCGUUGAUCAAAAGAUAGUCAUGGUUUCCUGACUAUGGACAUUGGAUGUCAUUGAUAACGGGAUCACAUCAUUAGGAGAAUGAUGUGAUGUACAAGACCCAAUCCUAAGCUUAGCUCAAAGAUCGUGUAGUUCGUUUGCUGUAGCUUUUCUGAAUGUUAAGUAUCAUUUCCUUAGACCAUGAGAUUGUGCAACUCCCGGAUACAGUAGGAGUGCUUUGGGUGUGCCAAACGUCACAACGCAACCGGGUGACUAUAAAGGUACAUUACAGGUAUCUCCGAAAGUGUCUGUUGGGUUGGCACGUUUCGAGACUGGGAUUUGUCACUCCGUAUGACGGAGAGGUAUCUCUGGGCCCACUCGGUAAUGCAUCAUCAUAAUGAGCUCAAUGUGAGCAAGUGGUUGAUCACGGGAUCAUGCAUUACGGUACGAGUAAAGUGACUUGCCGGUAACGAGACUGAACAAGGUAUUGGGAUACCGACGAUCGAGUCUCGGGCAAGUAACGUACCGAUUGACAAAGGGAAUUGUAUACGGAUUGAUUGAAUCCUCGACAUUGUGGUUCAUCCGAUGAGAUCAUCGUGGAGCAUGUGGGAGCCAACAUGGGUAUCCAGAUCCCGCUGUUGGUUAUUGACCGGAGAGGCUUCUUGGUCAUGUCUGCAUGUCUCCCGAACCCGUAGGGUCUACACACUUAAGGUUCAGUGACGCUAGGGUUGUAGAGAUAUUAGCACACGGUAACACGAAAGUUGUUCGGAGUCUCGGAUGAGAUCCCGGACGUCACGAGGAGUUCCGGAAUGGUCCGGAGGUAAAGAUUUAUAUAUAGGAAGUCCAGUUUCGGCCAUCGGGAAGGUUUCGGGGGUCACCGGUAUUGUACCGGGACCACCGAAAGGGUCCCGGGGGUCCACCGGGUGGGGCCACCUAUCUUGGAGGGCCCCAUGGGCUGAAGUGGGAGGGGAACCAACCCCUAGUGGGCUGGUGCGCCCCCCUUGGGCCUCCCCCUGCGCCUAGGGUCAGAAACCCUAGGGGUGGGGGCGCCACCCUUGCCUUGGGGGGCAAGGCACCCCCUUGGCCACCGCCCCCCUAGGAGAUUGGAUCUCCUAGGGCCGCCCCCCUAGGCACCCUAUAUAUAGUGGGGGGGGAGGGAGGGCUGCGCACCCAAGCCCCUGGCCUCUCCCUCUCCCUCUCGUGACACUCCUCCGUCUCCCAACGCUUGGCGAAGCUCUGCCGAGAUUACCAUUGCUUCCACCACCACGCCGUCAUGCUGCUGGAUCUUCAUCAACCUCUCCUUCCCCCUUGCUGGAUCAAGUUGGAGGAGACGUUUUCCCAACCGUACGUGUGUUGAACGCAGAGGUGCUCUCCGUUCGGCACUUGGUCAUCGGUGAUUUGAAUCACGUCGAGUACGACUCCAUCAACCCCGUUCUCUUGAACGCUUCCGCUCGUGAUCUACAAGGGUAUGUAGAUGCACUCCUCUUUCCCUCGUUGCUAGAUGACUCCAUAGAUUGAUCUUGGUGAUGCGUAGAAAAUUUUAAAAUUCUGCUACGUUCCCCAACAGAGGAUUUCAGUUCCCCUAGGGGCUCGAUCCAUGUUGAUGUUCUAGGGGUUAGGUCCACGGAGGCCGGUUGUGAGGAUCGGCCGACAGACCAAAAUAAGCCUAAGCGGAAGUGGAAACAGAAGGUUUAUCUAGUUUCAGCAGUACAUAGAAGUGCUAGGAUCCGUACCUCUAAAAAAAUUCAUGAUGAAAUAUGAGAGGAUUUUUUGGAAUAGCAGAGGUCUUAAAGACUUGGUUAAAAGAAGGUUUCUAGCCGAUGCGUCUAUUGAACACAAGCUGGACUUGAUCGCCCUUUCUGAAACUAGAAGGGCCAACUUCACCCCCCACUUCCUUAGCACUCUUUAUGGGGGUGUCGACUUCGACUGGCAUUGUCUACCUCCAAGAGGAAGGUCCGGCGGGAUCUUACUUGGAGUUAAGUGUGAUUAUUUGGAAGUUCGGAGUGUGGUCAUGGGGGACUUCGCGGUAAAAUUUUGAGUCAGAUCAAAGGCCGAUGGGUUUAAUUGGCCAUUGGUGGCGGUAUAUGGUGUCGCGCAGCCAGAACUCAAACCUGAUUUCUUAGCUGAUUGAUACGUCUCCAACAUAUCUAUAAUUUUUGAUUGUUCCAUGAUAUUAUAUUAACUAUUUUGGAUGUUUAUGGGCUUUAUUAUACACUUCUAUAUUAUUUUUGGGACUAACCUAUUAACCGGAGGCCCAGCCCAAAUUGCUGUUUUCUUGCCUAUUUCAGUGUUUCGAAGAAAAGGAAUAUCGAACAGAGUCCAAACGGAAUGAAACCUUCGGGAGAGUUAUUUUUGGAACGGAAGCAAUCCAGGAGACUUGGAGUAGACGUCAGCGAAGCUUCGAGGUGGCCACGAGGCAGGGAGGCACGCCUGCCCCCUGGGCGUGCCCCCCACCCUCGUGGGCCCCUCGUGGCUCCCCUAACCGACUUCUUUCACCUAUAUAUAUAUAUAUCCACAUACCCUAAAAACAUCAGGAAGCAUAAUAGAUCGGGAGUUCCGCCGCCGCAAGCCUCUGUAGCCACCAAAAACCAAUCGGGACCCUGUUCCGGCACCCUGCCGGAGGGGGGAUCCCUCUCCGGUGGCCAUCUUCAUCAUCCCGGUGCUCUCCAUGAUGAGGAGGGAGUAGUUCACCCUCGGGGCUGAGGGUAUGUACCAAUAGCUAUGUGUUUGAUCUCUCUCUCUCGUGUUCUUGAGGUGGUACGAUCUUGAUGUAUCGCGAGCUUUGCUAUUACAGUUGGAUCUUAUGAUGUCUCUCCCCCUCUACUCUCUUGUGAUGAAUUGAGUUUUCCCUUUGAAGUUAUCUUAUCGGAUUGAGUCUUUAAGGAUUUGAGAACACUUGAUGUAUGUCUUGCAUGUGCUUAUCUGUGGUGACAAUGGGAUAUCACGUGAUCCACUUGAUGUAUGUUUUGGUGAUCAAGUUGCGAGUUCCGUGACCUCGUGAACUUAUGCAUAGGGGUUGGCACACGUUUUCGUCUUGACUCUCCGGUAGAAACUUUGGGGCACUCUUUGAAGUUCUUUGUGUUGGUUGAAUAAAUGAAUCUGAGAUUGUGUGAUGCAUAUCGUAUAAUCAUACCCGCGGAUACUUGAGGUGGCAUUGGAGUAUUUAGGUGACAUUAGGGUUUUGGUUGGUUUGUGUCUUAAGGUGUUAUUUUACUACGAACUCUAGGGUUGUUUGUGACACUUAUAGGAAUAGCCCAAUGGAUUGAUCGGAAAGAAUAACUUUGAGGUGGUUUCGUACCCUACCAUAAUCUCUUUGUUUGUUCUCCGCUAUUAGUGACUUUGGAGUGACUCUUUGUUGCAUGUUGAGGGAUAGUUAUAUGAUCCAAUUAUGUUAUCAUUGUUGAGAGAACUUUCGCUAGUGAAAGUAUGAACUCUAGGCCUUGUUUCAACGCAUUGCAAUACCAUUUACGCUCACUUUUAUCACUUGCUACCUUGCUGUUUUCAUUACAAAAACCUAUGUCUACCAUCCAUAUUGCACUUGUAUCACCAUCUCUUUGCCGCACAUAUACAAUUUACCAUUGUAUUGGGUGUGUUGGGGACACAAGAGACUCUUUGUUGUUUGGUUUCAGGGUUGCUUGAGAGAGACCAUCUUCAUCCUACGCCUCCCACGGAUUGAUAAACCCUAGGUCAUCCACUUGAGGAAAAUUUGCUACUGUCCUACAAACCUCUGCACUUGGAGGCCCAACAACAUCUACAAGAAUAAGGUUGUGUAGUAGACAUUAAGCUCUUUUCUGGCGCUGUUGCCGAGGAGCUUAGCGCUUGAAGGUAUAUCUUUAGAUCUUGCAAUUGAAUCUUUUAGUUUCUUGUUUUAUCACUAGUUUAGUCUAUAAAAGAAAACUACAAAAAAAUGGAAUUGAGGGUACCUCGUAUGCUUCAUCUUUUUAAUGUCUUUCAUCAAAAUAAGGAUUCCGAUAAUUGUGCCAAAGUGUUAGAAGAAGAAUGCAUUAGAAUGUUUGGCACUAAAUCUUUGUAUGAUGAGCAUGGUUGCAAUGUUAUUAGUAUGAAUUCCUUGGAUAUCUAUGAUGCUAAUGAUAUGCAAAGCCACAAGCUUGGGGAUGCUAUGCUUGACGAAGAUGAUAUUUUUUGUCCCCCAAGUUUUGAUGAGCAAAUUUAUUAUGAUGAAAGCAUGCCUCCUAUUUAUGAUGACUAUAUUGAUGAAAGUGGAUUUGGAGAGGUCAUGACUUUAUUUGGUGAUGAAUCCACUAUUUCGGAAGAGGUUCCAAUUGAUUAUGAGAACAAAGUUGCUAUCUAUGAUGAUUAUUGUGAUGACAUGUAUGCUAUAAAGAAUAAUGAUAACCAUGAAACUUGUCGUCAUGAUUUUAAUUUUCAAUUGGAUUAUGCCUCACAUGAUAGUUAUUUUGUUGAGUUUGCUCCCACUAUUAUCCAUGUCAAUAAAUUUGCAUAUGUCGGGAGUGAUAAAAUUUCUAUGCUUAUGCAUCAUGAAAAUAAUGCAUUAUGUGAUAGCUACAUUGUUGAAUUCAUUCAUGAUGCUACUGAAAAUUAUUAUGAGGGAGGAAUAUAUGCUUGUAGGAAUUGCGAUAAUAUCAAGUUUCCUCUCUAUGUGCUUAAAGUUUUGAAGUUUUGCUUGCUUUACCUUCCUAUGCAAGUUAAUUCUUAUUCCCACAAGUUGUUUGCUCACAAAAUCCCUAUGCAUAGGAAGUGGGUUAGACUUAAAGGUGCUAGUCAUAUUCUUCAUGAUGCUCUCUUUAUGUUUCAAUUCUUAUCUUUUAUGUGAGCAUCAUUGAAAUCAUCAUGCCUAGCUAGGGGCGUUAAACGAUAGUGCUUGUUGGGAGGCAACCCAAUUUUAUUUUUGUUCUUUGCUUUAUGCUCCUGUUUAGUAAUAAAUAAUUCAUCUAGCCUCUGUUUAGAUGUGGUUUUAUGCUUUUAAUUAGUGUUUGUGCCAAGUAGAACCUUUGGGAAGGCUUGGGGAAAGUCUUUGCGAUCUUGCUGUAAAAAACAGAAACUUUAGCGCUCACGAGAAUUGCUGCCAUUUUUUAUUGAAGAGUGAUAUUUAGUUAAUUCUUUUUGCAGAUGAUUAAUAGAUAAAUUCCUCACGUCCAUAAAUUAUUUUAGAAUUUGUGGGGUUCCAGAAGUAGUCGAAACCUACAGAUUACUACAGAAUGUUCUGUUUUUGACAGAUUCUAUUUUCUAUGUGUUGUUUGCUUAUUUUGAUGAAUCUAUGAGUAGUAUCGGAGGGUAUGAAACAUAGAUAAGUUGUGAUACAGUAGAUAUUACACAAAUAUGAAUUUAUAAUGAGUUCACAAUAGUACCUAAGUGGUGAUUUAUUUUCUUAUACUAACGGAGCUUACGAGUUUUCUGUUAAGUUUUGUGUUGUGAAGUUUUCAAGUUUUGGGUAAAGAUUCGAUGGACUAUGAAAUAAGGAGUGGCAAGAGCCUAAGCUUGGGGAUGACCAAGGCACCCCAAGGUAAUAUUCAAGGACAACCAAGAGCCUAAGCUUGGGGAUGCCCCGGAAGGCACCCCCUCUUUCGUCUUCGUUCAUUGGUAACUUUACUUGGAGCUAUAUUUGUAUUUACCACAUGAUAUGUGUUUUGCUUGGAGCGUCAUUUUAUUUUAUUUUACUUUACUUGCUGUUUGAAUAAAAUAUCAAGAUCUGAAAUUAUUAAAUGUUAGAGAGUCUUCACAUAGUUGCAUAAUUGUUCGACUACUCAUUGAUCUUCACUUAUAUCUUUCGGAGUAGUUUCUCAUUUGCUCUAAUGCUUAACUUAUAUCUUUUUAGAGCACGGCGAUGGUUUUAUUUUGAAGAAAUAGAUGAAAUAUCAUGCUUCACUUAUAUUAUUUUGAGAAUCUUUUAGAACAGCAUGGUAAUUUGCUUUGGUUAUGAAAUUAGUCCUAAUAUGAUAGGCAUCCAAGAUGGGUAUAAUAAAAACUUUCAUAUAGAGUGCGUUGAAUACUAUGAGAAGUUUGAUACUUGAUAAUUAUUUUGAGAUAUAAAGGUGGUAAUAUUAGAGUCAUGCUAGUUGAGUAGUUGUGAAUUUGAGAGAUACUUGUGUUAAAGUUUGUGAUUCCCGUAGCAUGCACGUAUGGUGAACCGUUAUGUGAUGAAGUCGAAGCAUGAUUUAUUUAUUGAUUGUCUUCCUUGUGAGUGGCGGUCAGGGACGAGCGAUGGUCUUUUCCUACCAAUCUAUACCCCUAGAAGCAUGAGCGUAGUACUUUGUUUCGAUAACUAAUAGAUUUUUGCAAUAAGUAUGUGAGUUCUUUAUGACUAAUGUUGAGUCCAUGGAUUAUACGCACUCUCACCCUUCCACAUUUGCUAGCCUCUCCAUUACCGCGCACUUUUCGCCGGUAUCAUAUACCCACCAUAUACCUUCCUCAAAACAUCCACCAUACCUACCUAUUAUGGCAUUUCCAUAGCCAUUCUGAGAUAUAUUGCCAUGCAACUUUCCACUGUUCCAUUUAUUAUGACACGCUCCAUCAUUGUCAUAUUAUUUUGCAUGAUCAUGUAGUUGACAUCGUAUUUGUGGCAAAGCCACCGUUCAUAAUUCUUUCAUACAUGUCACUCAUGAGUCAUUGCACAUCCUGGUACACCGCCGGAGGCAUUCACAUAGAGUCAUAUUUUGUUCUAAGUAUCGAGUUGUAAUUCCUGAGUUGUAAGUAAAUAAAAGUGUGAUGAUCAUCAUUAUUAGAGCAUUGUCCCAGUAAGAAAAGGAUGAUGGAGACUAUGAUUCCCCCACAAGUAGGGAUGAGACUCUUGACAAAAAAUAAAUAAAUAAAAAGAGAAAAGAGGCCAAAAAAAGAAGGCCCAAAUAAAAAAAAGAAAAAGAGAGAAGGGACAAUGUUACUAUCCUCUUUCCACACUUGUGCUUCAAAGUAGCACCAUGAUCUUCAUGAUAGUGAAAGAAAUAUGACCUAGAGGCAAUAAUAAAGUUAUUAUUUAUUUCCUUAUUUCAUGAUAAAUGUUUAUUAUUUAUGCUAGAAUUGUAUUAACCGAAAACAUAAUACAUGUGUGAAUACAUAGACAAACAGAGUGUCACUAGUAUGCCUCUACUUGACUAGCUCGUUGAAUCAAAGAUGGUUAAGUUUCCUAGCCAUAGACAUGAGUUGUCAUUUGAUUAAUGGGGUCACAUCAUUAGAGAAUGAUGUGAUUGACUUGACCCAUUCCGUUAGCAUAGCACUUGAUCGUUUUACUUUGUUGCUAUUGCUUUCUUCAUGACUUAUACAUGUUCCUAUGACUAUGGGAUUAUGCAACUCCCGUUUACCGAAGGAACACUUUGUGUGCUACCAAACGUCACAACGUAACUGGGUGAUUAUAAAGGUGCUCUACAGGUGUCUUCGAAGGUACUUGUUGGGUUGGCGUAUUUCGAGAUUAGGAUUUGUCACUCCGAUUGUCGGAGAGGUAUCUCUGGGCCCACUCGGUAAUGCACAUCACUAUAAGCCUUGCAAGCAUUGCAACUAAUGAGUUAGUUGCGGGAUGAUGUGUUACAGAACUAGUAAAGAGACUUGCCGGUAACGAUAUUGAACUAGGUAUUGAGAUACCGAUGAUCGAAUCUCGGGCAAGUAACAUACCGAUGACAAAGGGAACAACAUAUGUUGUUAUGCGGUUUGACCGAUAAAGAUCUUCAUAGAAUAUGUAGGAACCAAUAUGAGCAUCCAGGUUCCGCUAUUGGUUAUUGACCGGAGACAUGUCUCGGUCAUGUCUACAUAGUUCUCGAACCCAUAGGGUCCGCACACUUAAAGUUUCAGUGAAGAUUUGUAUUAUGAGUUAUGUGUUUUGAUGUACCGAAGGUAGUUCGGAGUCCCAGAUGAGAUCGGGGACAUGACGAGGAGUCUCGAAAUGGUCGAGACAUAAAUAUUAAUAUAUUGGAAGACUAUAUUCGGACAUCGGAAAGGUUCCGAGUGAUUCGGGUAUUUUUCGGAGUACCGGGGAGUUACAGGAAUACGAGGAAGUAACAUUGGGCCUUAAUGGGCCUUAGUGGGAAGGAGAGGCAGUAGCCAGGAGGUGGCGCGCCCCCCUCCCAAGCCCAGUCCAAAUUGGACAAGGGGUUUGGGGCGCGGCCCCCUCUCCCUUCCUUCUCCACUCCCCUCCUUUCCCCCCUUCUCCUAGUUGGACUAGGAAAGGAGGAAACCUACUCCUACUAGGAGUAGGAAUCCUACUCCCUUGGCGCGCCCCUCCUAGGGCCAGCCUCCUCCUCCCUUGCUCCUUUAUAUUCGGGGGCAAGGGGGCACCCCAAGACACACAAGUUGAUCUGUUGAUCUCUCCCAGCCGUUUGUAGUGCCCCCCUCCACCAUAUUCCACCUCAGUCAUAUUGUAGCGGUGCUUAGGCGAAGCCCUGCGUCGGUAGCAACAUCAUCACCGUCAUCACGCCGUCGUGCUGACGGAACUCUCCCGUGAAGCUCUGCUGAAUCGGAGUUCGCGGGACGUCAUCGAGCUGAACGUGUGCUGAACUCGGAGGUGCCGUGCGUUCGGUACUUGAUCGGUCGGAUCAUGAAGACGUACAACUACAUCAACCGUGUUGUGCUAACGCUUCCGCUUUCGGUCUAUGAGGGUACAUGGACAGACUCUCCCCUCUCGUUGCUAUGCAUCACCAUGAUCUUGCGUGUGCGUAGGAAAUUUUUGAAAUUACUAUGUUUCCCUACAGAUAGAGAGUCUCCUAUGUUGUCACUUUCAUAUACUAGUGAGAAUUUUUCAUUAUAGAACUUGGCUUGUAUAUUCCAAUGAUGGGCUUCCUCAAAAUGCCCUAGGUCUUCGUGAGCAAGCGAGUUGGGUGCACACCCACUUAGUUUCUUUUUGAGCUUUCAUACACUUAUAGCUCUAGUGCAUCCAUUGCAUGGCAAUCCCUACUCACUCACAUUGAUAUCUAUUGAUGGGCAUCUCCAUAGCUCGUUGAUACGCCUAGUUGAUGUGAGACUAUCUUCUGCUUUUUUUCUUCUCCACAACCACAUUUCUAUUCCACCUAUAGUGCUACAUCCAUAGCUCGCGCUCAUGUAUUGCAUGAAGAUUGAAAAAGUUUGAGAAUAUCAAAAGUAUGAAACAAUUGCUUGGCUUGUUAUCGGGGUUGUGCAUGAUUUAAAUAUUUUGUGUGAUGAAGAUAGAGCAUAGUCAGACUAUAUGAUUUUGUAGGGAUAGCUUCCUUUGGCCAUGUUAUUUUGAGAAGACAUAAUUGCUUGGUUAGUAUGCUUGAAGUAUUAUUAUUUUUAUGUAAAUAUUAAACUUUUGUCUUGAAUAUUAUGGAUUUGAAUAUUCUUGCCAUAAUAAAGAAGAUUACAUUAAUAAAUAUGUUAGGUAGCAUUCCACAUCAAAAAUUCUGUUUUUAUCAUUUACCUAUUUGAGGACGAGCAGGAAUUAAGCUUGGGGAUGCUGAUACGUCUCCAACGUAUCUAUAUUUUUGUAUUGUUCCAUGCUAUUAUAUUAUCUGUUUUGGAUGUUUAUGGGCUUUAUUAUACACUUUCAUAUUAUUUUUGGGACUAACCUAUUAACCGGAGGCCCAUCCCAAAUUGAUGUUUUCUUGCCUAUUUCAGUGUUUCGAAGAAAAGGAAUAUCAAACGGAGUCCAAACGGAAUGAGACCUUCAGGAGAGUUAUUUUUGGAACGAAAGCAAAUCAGGAGACUUAGAGGAGACGUCAGGGAAGCUUCGAGGUGGCCACGAGGUAGGGAGGCGUGCCUGUCCCCUAGGCGUGCCCCCACCCUCAUGGACCCCUCAUGGCUCCCCUGACCGACUUCUUUCACCUAUAUAUAUCCAUAUACCCUAAAAACAUCAGGAAACAAAAUAGAUCGGGACCCUGUUCCGGCACCCUGCCGGAGGGGGGAUCCCUCUCCGGUGUCCAUCUUCAUCAUCCCGGCGCUCUCCAUGACGAGGAGGGAGUAGUUCACCCUCGGGGCUGAGGGUAUGUACCAGUAGCUAUGUGUUUGAUCUCUCUCUCUCUCUCGUGUUCUUGAGGUGGUACGAUCUUGAUGUAUCACGAGCUUUGCUAUUAUAGUUGGAUCUUAUGAUGUCUCUCCCCCUCUACUCUCUUGUGCUGAAUUGAGUUUUCCCUUUGAAGUUAUCUUAUCGUGUUGAGUCUUUAAGGAUUUGAGAACACUUGAUGUAUGUCUUGCAUGUGCUUAUGUGUGGUGACAAUGGGAUAUCACGUGAUCCACUUGAUGUAUGUUUUGGUGAUCAACUUGCGAGUUCUGUGACCUCAUGAACUUAUGCAUAGGGGUUGGCACACGUUUUCGUCUUGACUCUCCGGUGGAAACUUUAGGGCACUCUUUGAAGUUCUUUGUGUUGGUUGAAUAGAUGAAUUUGAGAUUGCGUGAUGCAUAUCGUAUAAUCAUACCCGCGGAUACUUGAGGUGACAUUGGAGUAUCUAGGUGACAUUAGGGUUUUGGUUGAUUUGUGCCUUAAGGUGUUAUUUUACUACGAACUCUAGGGCUGUUUGUGACACUUAUAGGAAUCGCCCAAUGGAUUGAUCGGAAAGAAUAACUUUGAGGUGUUUUCGUACCCUACCAUAAUCUCUUCGUUUGUUCUCCGCUAUUAGUGACUUUGGAGUGACUCUUUGUUGCAUGUUGAGGGAUAGUUAUAUGAUCCAAUUAUGUUAUUAUUGUUAAGAGAACUUGCACUAGUGAAAGUAUGAACUCUAGGCCUUGUUUCAACGCAUUGCAAUACCGUUUAUGCUCACUUUUAUCACUUGCUACCUUACUGUUUUUGUAUUUUCAGAUUACAAAAACCUAUAUCUACCAUCCAUAUUGCACUUGUAUCACCAUCUCUUCGCCGAACUAGUGCACCUAUAAAAUUUAGCAUUGUAUUGGGUGUGUUGGGGGCACAAGAGACUCUUUGUUGUUUGGUUGCAGGGUUGCUUGAGAGAGACCAUCUUCAUCCUACGCCUCCCACGGAUUGAUAAACCUUAGGUCAUCCACUUGAGGGAAAUUUGCUACUGUCCUAUAAACCUCUGCACUUGGAGGCCCAACAACGUCCACAAGAAGAAGGUUGUGUAGUAGACAUGACUGACCUCGUCCGUAUUUGUGGUAGCGAGCAGCUCCCAAUUCUCAUUGGGGGCGAUUUUAAGAUUAUUCGAAGAAGGAAGGAAAAGAAUAAUGAGAAUUUUGACGACAGAUGGUCCUUUAUGUUAAAUACCAUAAUCGAAAGCUUGGAUCUUAUAGAGAUAGAGCUUUCUGGUAGGAAAUUCACUUGGGCUAAUUCGUUACCAAACCCGACUUUUGAGAAGUUGGACCGUGUCCUCGCCAGCGUCGAAUGGGAGCAGAAGUUUCCCCUGGUAAUAGUCCAAGCGUUAUCACGCGCAGUCUGGGAUCACACUCCAUUGCUAAUUGAUUCUGGUGAGGCCACCCAUGUGGGGAAUAAAAACUACUUCUCUUUUGAAUUAUCGUGGUUUGAAAGAGAAGGGUUACUAGAUCUGGUAGCAAGGGAAUGGGCUAAAGAUUUAGGAGGGAGGUCUCCUAUUAAAAGAUGGCAGAAUAAGAUUAGGCAUCUACGAAGAUUCCUGCGUGUAUGGGCAAAGCAUACGCAUGGGAUAUAUAAGGUUGAGAAGGAAAGGCUCCUUCUACUUAUUCAAUCCCUCGAUAUAAAAGAUGAACCCACUAUUUUAGAUACCAGAGAGCUGGAAACUAAAAUGGAGGCGGAGUUGAGACUGGAAGAACUCCUUCGAGAGGAGGAAUUGAAGUGGGCACUGCGAGCUAAGGUUCGCAAAAUCAUCCAAGGGGAUGACAACACUCAAUUCUUUCAUAUGAUUGCAAAUGGCAAGCACCGAAAGAAGAGGAUAUUUUAGCUUGAGCAAGAUGAGGGUACGAUUCUAAGACAAGAGAACCUUAAAGUUUAUAUAACUAAUUACUAUAAGCAGUUGUUUGGACCCCCGGAGGAUAAUUUUGUAUCCUUAGAUGAGUCCAUGGUUGAGGGUGUCCCUCAACUUGCGGCAGAUGAUAAUGAUAUUCUGACCGCCCCAUUUACGGAGAAAGAGGUGUUUGAGGCCAUUGCACAAAUGAAAAACAAUAAGGCUCCAGGGCCGGAUGGUUUUUCGGCAGAGUUUUAUAAAAAGUGUUGGCAUAUUAUCAAAGGAGAUUUGCUCCCAAUGUUCCAUGACCUAUUCUCUGGACAACUUCACUCUGGACAGCUUCAGUUGUUUCAAUUAAAUUUUGGAACGAUAACUUUACUUCCUAAGAAAACGGAGGUUGUUCGUAUCGAGCAGUUCAAGCCUAUCUGUCUUCUUAAUGUAAGUUUCAAAAUUUUCACCAAGGUCGUGACGAACAGGCUUAUGCAAAUUGCGCACUCUGUGGUGCACCCGUCCUAAACUACUUUCAUGCCGGACAGAAACAUCCUCGAAGGGGUUGUGGUCCUACAUGAAACUCUCCAUGAAAUCCACACGAAAAAACUAGACAGAGUUGUUUUCAAACUAGACUUUGAGAAAGCGUACGAUAAGGUAAAAUGACCUUUCCUUCAACAAGCUUUGCGUAUGAAAGGUUUUGAUCAGGCCUGGAGAAGCCAGGUAGUUUCUUUCACGCAAAAAGGGAGUGUUGGGAUUAAAGUGAAUGAUGACAUAGGUCACUACUUCCAAACACACAAAGGACUGAGGCAAGGAGUUCUGAUGUCACCUAUUCUUUUCAACAUAGUGGUCGAUAUGUUGGCAAUUCUUAUAGGAAGGGCUAAGGAGGUGGGCCAGGUAGGAGGCCUUGUCCUGCACUUAGUUGACGGUGGUGUAUCCAUCCUACAGUACGCUGAUGAUACUAUCAUCUUCAUGGAGCAUGACUUGGCAAAAGCGCAAAACAUGAAGCUGGUGUUAUGCUUAUUCGAACAACUGACCGAGUUAAAGAUUAACUUCCAUAAGAGCGAAUUGUUCUGUUUUGGAAGAGCUAAUGAUGACCAAGAUGCAUACAAACAAUUGUUCGGGUGUGAGUUGGGGGCUUUACCUUUCACGUAUUUAGGUAUACCUAUUCACCAUCAUAAGCUAACCAACAGAGAAUGGAAGUGUAUUGAGGAUCGAUUUGAGAAGAAACUGAGCCGCUCGAAAGGAAAGCUAAUGUCAUACGGAGGCCGACUAAUUCUUAUUAACUCGGUCCUCAUGAGUAUGCUCAUGUUUAUCCUUUCCUUUUUUGAGAUUCCUGUGGGAGUCCGGAAGAGGCUAAACUUCUAUCGAUCUUGUUUUUUCUCGCAGUGUGAUGAGCUAAAACGAAAAUACAGACUUCCUAAAUGGGAUAUAAAUUGUAGGCCAAAAGACCAAGGGGGUCUAGGCAUUGAAAACCUGGAGGUGAAGAACAAAUGUCUUCUUAGCAAGUGGCUGUUUAAGCUUUCUGUCAAGACGGAGGUCACUUGGGCUCAGAUCUUACGUAACAAGUAUCUCCACUCUAGAACCUUGUCUCAGGUGAUAAUGAGGCCGACUGACUCGCCUUUUUGGAAAGGGUUGAUGAGAGUUAAAUCACUCUUAUUCAAUAGAACAAGAUUCAUAGUUGAAAAUGGUACCACUACGAGAUUCUGGGAGGAUACAUGGCUAGGGGAGAUGCCCCUAGCACUCCAAUAUCCAUCUCUAUAUAGCAUUGUUCAGCGUAAAGACGCUUACGUUGCAACAGUGAUGCAGUCUACUCCGCUCAACAUUCAAUUUAGGAGGACGCUAGUAGGGAGCUGUCGGGAAGUCUGGCUCAAUCUUUGUGAGAAGAUUGAUGGAUGUCCAGUUGAAAGAUCGUGGAUGCCGCCUAGAGGGGGGGGGUAAAUAGGCGCUUUAAAAUAAUUACGGUUUAGUCUUGAACAAAGGCGGAAUAAACCUAGCGUUAAUUUGCCAAGCACAAAGCCUAAAACAACUAGGCUCACCUAUGUGCACCAACAACUUAUGCUAAGCAAGAUAAACUACUAGGUGAUAGCAAGGUAUAUGACAAGAAACAAUAUGGCUAUCACAAAGUAAAGUGCAUAAGUAAAGAGCUCGGGUAAGAGAUAACCGAGGCACGCGGAGACGAGAUGUAUCCCUAAGUUCACACCCUUGCGGAUGCUAAUCUCCGUUUGGAGUGGUGUGGAGGCACAAUGCUCCCCAAGAAGCCACUAGGGCCACCGUAAUCUCCUCACGCCCUCGCAUAAUGCAAGAUGCCGUGAUUCCACUAAGGGACCCUUGAGGGCGGUCAUCGAACCCGUACAAAUGGCAACCCUUGGGGGCGGUCACCGGUACCCGUUCACUUUGGCAACCCUUGGGGGCGGUCACCGGUACCCGUCAAAUUGCUCGGGGCGAUCUCCACAACCUAAUUGGAGACCCCGAUGCUUGCCCGGAGCUUUACACCACAAUGAUUGAGCUCCGAACACCACCAACUGUCUAGGGCGCCCAAGCACCCAAGAGGAACAAGCUCAAGGAUACCAAGCACCCAAGAGUAAUAAGCUUCUCAACUUGUAACUUCCAUGUAUCAUGUGGAGAACUCAAACCAACGCACCAAAUGUAAUGGCAAGGGCACACGGAGUGCCCAAGUCCUUCUCUUCCAAAUCCCACCGAAGCAACAAAUGCAAGGGAGGAAAAUGAGAGGAAGAACGAAGAAGAGAACACGAAGAACUCCAAGAUCUAGAUCCAAGGGGUUCCCUCACAUAGAGGAGAAAGUGAUUGGUGGAAACGUGGAUCUAGAUCUCCUCUCUCUUUUCCCUCAAGAACUAGCAAGAAUCAUUGGAGGGAUUGAGAGUUAGCAAGCUCGAAGAAGGUCAACAAUGGGGGAAGAACACGAGCUAAAGAGAUCAGGUUCAAUGGGGAAGAAGACCCCCUUUUAUAGGUGGGAAAAAAUCCAACCGUUAUGCUCACAGCCCGCACAGAGCGGUACUACCGCUCCAAGGAGCGGUACUACCGCUAGGGCGGUAGUACCCCUUUGAAAAACAACAGCGAGGAGGCAAAAGGCCGGUAGAACCGCCGGAGCGGUACUACCGCUCGUCCUCACGGUACUACCGCUAGGGAUCGCGGUACUACUACAAAGGGUAGCGGUACUACUGCUAGCGAGCGGUACUAAAAAAAUACAUCCGGGCCUACCACCACAGGACUUGGGACGAGUUUUUGGUCCGGAGCGGUACUACCGCUGUAGGAGCCAUGGUAGUACCGCUCCGAAGCGGUAGUAAAAAAUUACAUCCGCUACAAUUCGCGAUAGUACCGCUGCAGCCUUUUCAGAACACCAAAACUGCCACAACUUUUGCAAACGAACUCCGAAUUCGAUGAAACCAAAUUUGUUGGAAAGCUAGCGACAAGGGAUAACACAAUCUUGAAAGAAAUAUCAAUAAGAAGCAAAUUACAAAAGGCCCGUAAGAAAAUGGUGAGAACCAUUCCUCGGAAAAGACCGAUAAAACCUCCAACACCGAAAACAUCAUAGAAGACACAUGCGAACUCCAUUUUCGAUGAACUCAAGCUUGUCAUCAAGAUGACCAUAAGCUCUAAGACUCACAAAGAGAACCAAACAAGAACCUGUUGGGGAACGUAGUAAUUUCAAAAAAAAUUCCUACGCACACUCAAGAUCAUGGUGAUGCAUAGCAACGAGAGGGGAGAGUGUUGUCCACGUACCCUCGUAGACCGAAAGCGGAAGCGUUAUAACAACACGGUUGAUGUAGUCGUACGUCUUCACGGCCCGACCGAUCAAGCACCGAAACUACGACACCUCCGAGUUCUAGCACACGUUCAGCUCGAUGACGAUCCCCGGACUCCGAUCCAGCAAAUUGUCGGGGAAGAGUUCCGUCAGCACGACGGCGUGGUGACGAUCUUGAUGUUCUACCAUCGCAGGGCUUUGCCCAAGCACCGCUACAAUAUUAUCGAGGAUUAUGGUGGAGGGGGGCACCGCACAUGGCUAAGAGAUCUCAAGGAUCAAUUGUUGUGUCUAGAGGUGCCCCCCUGCCCCCGUAUAUAAAGGAGCAAGGGGGAGGGGCGGCCGGCCAUGAUGAGGCGUGCCAGGGAGGAGUCCUACUCCUACCAGGAGUAGGACUCUCUCCUUUUCCUUGUCCAAGUAGGAGAGGGGGAAGGAAGGGGGAGAGGAGAGGAAGGAAAGGGGGGCGGCGCCCCUCCCUCCUUGUCCAAUUCGGACUAGGGGGAGAGGGGGCGCGCGGCCUGCCCUGGCCGCCCCUCCUCUUCUCCACUUUAGGCCCAUGAGGCCCAUUAACCCCCCGGGGGGUUCCGGUAACCCCCCCCCCCGGUACUCGGUUUUAUCCGAAACUUCCCCGGAACACUUCCGGUGUCCGAAUAUAGCCGUCCAAUAUAUCAAUCUUUAUGUCUCGACCAUUUCGAGACUCCUCGUUAUGUCCGUGAUCACAUCCGCGACUUCGAACUAACUUCGGUACAUCAAAACUAAUAAACUCAUAAUAUAACUGUCAUCGAAACCUUAAGCGUGCGGACCCUAUGGGUUCGAGAACAAUGUAGACAUGACCGAGACACGUCUCCGGUCAAUAACCAAUAGCGGAACCUGGAUGCUCAUAUUGGCUCCCACAUAUUCUAAGAAGAUAUUUUAUCGGUCAGACCGCAUAACAACAUACGUUGUUCCCUUUGUCAUCGGUAUGUUACUUGCCCGAGAUUCGAUCGUCGGUAUCUCAAUACCUAGUUCAAUCUCGUUGCCGGCAAGUCUCUUUACUCGUUUUGUAAUACAUCAUCUCGCAACUAACUCAUUAGUUGCAUUGCUUGCAAGGCUUAGGUGAUGUGCAUUACCGAGAGGGCCCAGAGAUACCUCUCCGACAAUCGGAGUGACAAAUCCUAAUCUCGAAAUACGCCAACCCAACAUGUACCUUUGGAGACACCUGUAGAGCACCUUUAUAAUCACCCACUUACGUUGUGAUGUUUGGUAGCACACAAAGUGUUCCUCCGGCAAACGGGAGUUGCAUAAUCUCAUAGUCAUAGGAACAUGUAUAAGUUAUGAAGAAAGAAAUAGCAACAUACUAAAUGAUCGGGUGCUAAGCUAAUGGAAUGGGUCAUGUCAAUCACAUCAUUCUCCUAAUAAUGUGAUCCCGUUAAUCAAAUGACAACACAUGUCUAUGGUUAGGAAACAUAACCAUCUUUGAUUAAUGAGCUAGUUAAGUAGAGGCAUACUAGUGACGUUUAGUUUGUCUAUGUAUUCACACAAGUAUUAUGUUUCCGGAUAAUACAAUUCUAGCAUGAAUAAUAAACAUUUAUCAUGAUAUAAGGAAAUAAAAUAAUAACAUUAUUAUUGCCUCUAGGGCAUAUUUCCUUUAGUCUCCCACUUGCACUAGAGUCAAUAAUCUAGAUUACACGGUAAUGAUUCUAACACCCAUGGAGCUUUGGUGUUGAUCAUGUUUUGCUCGUGGAAGAGGCUUAGUCAACAGGUCUGCAACAUUCAGAUCCGUAUGUAUCUUGCAAAUCUCUAUGUCUCCCACCUGGACUAGAUCCCAGAUGGAAUUGAAGCGUCUCUUGAUGUGCUUGGUUCUCUUGUGAAACCUGGAUUCCUUUGCCAAGGCAAUUGCACCAGUAUUGUCACAAAAGAUUUUCAUUGGACCCGAUGCACUAGGUAUGACACCUAGAUCGGAUAUGAACUCCUUCAUCCAGACUCCUUCGUUUGCUGCUUCCGAAGCAGCUAUGUACUCCGCUUCACAUGUAGAUCCCGCCACAACGCUUUGUUUAGAACUGCACCAACUGACAGCUCCACCGUUUAAUGUAAACACGUAUCCGGUUUGCGAUUUAGAAUCGUCCGAAUCAGUGUCAAAUCUUGCAUCAACGUAACCAUUCACGAUGAGCUCUUUGUCACCUCCAUAUACGAGAAACAUAUCCUUAGUCCUUUUCAGGUAUUUCAGGAUGUUCUUGACCGCUGUCCAGUGAUCCACUCCUGGAUUACUUUAGUACCUCCCUGCUAGACUUAUAGCAAGACACACAUCAGGUCUGGUACACAACAUUGCAUACAUGAUAGAGCCUAUGGCUGAAGCAUAGGGAACAUCUUUCAUUUUCUCUCUAUCUUCUACAUUGGUCGGGCAUUGAGUCUUACUCAAUUUCACACCUUGUAACACAGGCAAGAAUCCUUUCUUUGCUUGAUCCAUUUUGAACUUUUUCAAAAUUUUGUCAAGGUAUGUGCUUGGUGAAAGUCCAAUUAAGCGUCUUGAUCUACCUCGAUAGAUCUUAAUGCCCAAUAUGUAAGCAGCUUCACUGAGGUCUUUCAUUGAAAAACUCUUAUUCAAGUAUCCCUUUAUGCUAUCUAGAAAUUCUAUAUCAUUUCCAAUUAGUAAUAUGUCAUCUACAUAUAAUAUCAGAAAUGCUACAGAGCUCCCACUCACUUUCUUGUAAAUACAGGCUUCUCCAAAAGUCUGUACAAAACCAAAUGCUUUGAUCACACUAUCAAAGUGUUUAUUCCAACUCCGAGAGGCUUGCACCAGUCCAUAAAUGGAUCGCUGGAGCUUGCACACUUUGUUAGCUCCCUUUGGAUCGACAAAACCUUCGGCUGCAUCAUAUACAACUCUUCUUCCAGAAAUCCAUUCAGGAAUGCAGUUUUGACAUCCAUCUGCCAAAUUUCAUAAUCAGAAAAUGCGGCAAUUGCUAACAUGAUUCGGACAGACUUAAGCAUCGCUACGGGUGAGAAGGUCUCAUCAUAGUCAAUCCCUUGAACUUGUCGAAACCCUUUUGCGACAAGUCGAGCUUUGUAGACAGUAACAUUACCGUCAGCGUCAGUCUUCUUCUUGAAAAUCCAUUUAUUAUCAAUUGCUUGCCGAUCAUUGGGCAAGUCAACCAAAGUCCACACUUUGUUCUCAUACAUGGAUCCCAUCUCAGAUUUCAUGGCUUCAAGCCAUUUUGCGGAAUCUGGGCUCACCAUCGCUUCUUCAUAGUUCGUAGGUUCAUCAUGAUCUAGUAGCAUGACUUCCAGAACAGGAUUACCGUACCACUCUGGUGCGGAUCUUACUCUGGUUGAUCUACGAGGUUCGGUAGUAACUUGUUCUGAAGUUUCAUGAUCAUUAUCAUUAGCUUCCUCACUAAUUGGUGUAGGUGUCACAGAAACUGUUUUCUGUGAUGUACUACUUUCCAACAAGGGAGCAGGUACAGUUACCUCAUCAAGUUCUACUUUCCUCCCACUCACUUCUUUCGAGAGAAACUCCUUCUCUAGAAAGGAUCCAUUCUUAGCGACAAAUGUCUUGCCUUCGGAUCUGUGAUAGAAGGUGUACCCAACAGUUUCCUUUGGGUAUCCUAUGAAGACACAUUUCUCCUAUUUGGGUUCGAGCUUAUUAGGUUGAAGUUUUUUCACAUAAGCAUCGUAGCCCCAAACUUUCAGAAACAUCAACUUUGGUUUCUUGCCAAACCACAGUUCAUAAGGCGUCGUCUCAACGGAUUUUGAUGGUGCCCUAUUUAAUGUGAAUGCGGCCAUCUCUAAAGCAUAACCCCAAAACGAUAGCGGUAAAUCUGUAAGAGACAUCAUAGAUCGCACCAUAUCAAGUAAAGUACGAUUACGACGUUCAGACACACCAUUACGCUGUGGUGUUCCGGGUGGCGUGAGUUGCGAAACUAUUCCGCAUUGUUUCAAAUGUAGACCAAACUCGUAACUCAAAUAUUCUCCUCCACAAUCAGAUCGUAGAAACUUUAUUUUCUUGUUACGAUGAUUUUCAACUUCACUCUGAAAUUCUUUGAACUUUUCAAAUGUUUCAGACUUAUGUUUCAUUAAGUAGAUAUACCCAUAUCUGCUUAAAUCAUCUGUGAAGGUGAGAAAAUAACGAUAUCCGCCACGAGCUUCAACAUUCAUUGGACCACAUACAUCUGUAUGUAUGAUUUCCAACAAAUCUGUUGCUCUCUCCAUAGUACCGGAGAACGGUGUUUUAGUCAUCUUGCCCAUGACGCACGGUUCGCAAGUACCAACUGAUUCAUAAUCAAGUGAUUCCAAAAGUCCAUCAGUAUGGAGUUUCUUCAUGCGUUUUAUACCGAUAUGACCUAAACGGCAGUGCCACAAAUAAGUUGCACUAUCAUUAUCAACUCUAUAUCUUUUGGUUUCAACAUUAUGAAUAUGUGUAUCACUACUAUCGAGAUUCAUCAAAAAUAGACCAUUCUUCAAGGGUGCAUGACCAUAAAAGAUAUUACUCAUAUAAAUAGAACAACCAUUAUUCUCUGAUUUAAAUGAAUAACCGCCUUGCAUUAAACAAGAUCCAGAUAUAAUGUUCAUGCUUAAUGCUGGCACCAAAUAACAAUUAUUUAGGUCUAAUACUAAUCCCGAUGGUAGAUGUAGAGUAGCGUGCCGACCGCGAUCACAUCGACCUUGGAACCAUUUCCCACGCGCAUCGUCACCUCGUCCUUCGCUAGUGUUCGCUUAAUCCGUAGUCCCUGUUUCGAGUUGCAAAUAUUAGCAAUAGAACCAGUAUCAAAUACCCAGGUGCUACUGCAAGCUCUAGUAAGGUACACAUCAAUAACAUGUAUAUCAUAUAUACCUUUGUUCACCUUGCCAUCCUUCUUAUCCGCCAAAUACUUCGGGCAGUUCCGCUUCCAGUGACCAGUCUGCUUGCAGUAGAAGCACUCAGUUUCAGGCUUAGGUCCAGAUUUGGGUUUCUUCUCUUGAGCAUCAACUUGCUUGCUGUUCUUCUUGAAGUUCCCCUUCUUCUUCCCUUUGCCCUUUUUCUUGAAACCAGUGGUCUUGUUGACCAUCAACACUUGAUGCUCCUUCUUGAUUUCUACCUCCGCAGCUUUCAGCAUUGCGAAGAGCUCGGGAAUAGUCUUAUUCAUCCCUUGCAUAUUAUAGUUCAUCACGAAGCUCUUGUAGCUAGGUGGCAGUGAUUGGAGAAUUAUGUCAAUGACGCAAUCAUCUGGAAGAUUAACUCCCAAUUGAAUCAAGUGAUUAUUAUACCCAGACAUUUUAAGUAUAUGCUCACUGACAGAACUGUUCUCCUCCAUCUUGCAGCUAUAGAACUUAUUGAAGACUUCAUAUCUCUCAAUUCGGGCAUUUGCUUGAAAUAUUAACUUCAACUCCUGGAACAUCUCAUAUGCUCCAUGAUGUUCAAAACGUCGUUGAAGUCCCGAUUCUAAGCCGUAAAGCAUGGCACACUGAACUAUCGAGUAGUCAUCAGCUUUGCUCUGCCAGACAUUCAUAACAUCUGGUGUUGCUCCAGCAGUAGGCCUAGCACCCAGCGGUGCUUCCAGGACGUAAUUCUUCUGUGCAGCAAUGAGGAUAAUCCUCAAGUUACGGACCCAGUCCGUGUAAUUGCUACCAUCAUCUUUCAACUUUGCUUUCUCAAGGAACGCAUUAAAAUUCAACGGAACAACAGCACGGGCCAUCUAUCUACAAUCAAACAUAAACAAGCAAGAUACUAUCAGGUACUAAGUUCACGAUAAAUUUAAGUUCAAUUAAUCAUAUUACUUAAGAACUCCCACUUAGAAAGACAUCCCUCUAAUCUUCUAAGUGAUCACGUGAUCCAAAUCAACUAAACCAUAAUCGAUCAUCACGUGAAAUGGAGUAGUUUUCAAUGGUGAACAUUGCUAUGUUGAUCAUAUCUAUUAUAUGAUUCACGCUUGACCUUUCGGUCUCAGUGUUCCGAGGCCAUAUCUGCAUAUGCUAGGCUCGUCAAGUUUAACCUGAGUAUUCCGCGUGUGCAAAAACUGGCUUGCACCCGUUGUAGAUGGACGUAGAGCUUAUCACACCCGAUCAUCACGUGGUGUCUGGGCACGACGAACUUUGGCAAUGGUGCAUACUCAGGGAGAACACUUCUUUAUAAUUAGUGAGAGAUCAUCUUAUAAUGCUACCGUCAAGCAAAGCAAGAUAAGAUGCAUAAAAGAUAAACAUCACAUGCAAUCAAUAUAAGUGAUAUGAUAUGGCCAUCAUCUUCUUGUACUUGUGAUCUCCAUCUCUGAAGUACCGUCAUGAUCACCAUCGUCACCGGCAUGACACCUUGAUCACCAUCGUAGCAUCAUUGUCGUCUCGCCAAUCUUAUGCUUCCACGACUAUCGCUACCGCUUAGUGAUAAAGUAAAGCAUUACAGCGCGAUUGCAUUGCAUACAAUAAAGCGACAACCAUAUGGCUCCUGCCAGUUGCCGAUAACUCGGUUACAAAACAUGAUCAUCUCAUACAAUAAAAUUUAGCAUCAUGUCUUGACCAUAUCACAUCACAACAUGCCCUGCAAAAACAAGUUAGACGUCCUCUACUUUGUUUGUUGCAAGUUUUACGUGGCUGCUACGGGCUUAAGCAAGAAUCAAUCUUACCUACGUAUCAAAACCACAACGAUAGUUUGUCAAGUUGGUGUUGUUUUAACCUUCGCAAGGACCGGGCGUAGCCACACUCGGUUCAACUAAAGUUGGAGAAACUGACACCCGCCAGCCACCUGUGUGCAAAGCACGUCGGUAGAACCAGUCUCGUGUAAGCGUACGCGUAAUGUCGGUCCGGGCCGCUUCAUCCAACAAUACCGCCGAACCAAAGGAUGACAUGCUGGUAAGCAGUAUGACUUAUAUCGCCCACAACUCACUUGUGUUCUACUCGUGCAUAUAACAUCAACACAUAAAACCUAGGCUCGGAUGCCACUGUUGGGGAACGUAGUAAUUUCAAAAAAAAAUCCUACGCACACUCAAGAGCAUGGUGAUGCAUAGCAAUGAGAGGGGAGAGUGUUGUCCAUGUACCCUCGUAGACCAAAAGCGGAAGCGUUAUAACAACGCGGUUGAUGUAGUCGUACGUCUUCACGGCCCGACCGAUCAAGCACCGAAACUACGGCACCUCCGAGUUCUAGCACACGUUCAGCUCGAUGACGAUCCCCGGACUCCGAUCCAGCAAAGUGUCGGGGAAGAGUUCCGUCAGCACGACGGCGUGGUGACGAUCUUGAUGUUCUACCGUCGCAGGGCUUCGCCUAAGCACCGCUACAAUAUUAUCGAGGAUUAUGGUGGAGGGGGGCACCGCACAUGGCUAAGAGAUCUCAAGGAUCAAUUGUUGUGUCUAGAGGUGCCCCUGCCCCCGUAUAUAAAGGAGCAAGGGGGAGGGGCGGCCGGCCAUGAUGAGGCGCGCCAGGGAGGAGUCCUACUCCUACCGGGAGUAGGACUCCCUCCUUUUCCUUGUCCAAGUAGGAGAGGGGGAAGGAAGGGAGAGAGGAGAGGAAGGAAAGGGGGGUGCCGCCCCUCCCUCCUUGUCCAAUUCGUACUAGGGGUGUCGGGUGGUAGGUGCGACAUAUGCCAACGGGUGGCUUAUCAUUGUGGGAGCCAGUAAGACGUCGCCGGUGCCUGGAAGCGAGAUGAGGCGAAGACAUGCACGCCGGCGAAUCUUACCCAGCUUCGGGGCUCUACGUGGAGAUAACACCCCUACUGCUGCUUUGCGGGGUCUCCGCAUGAUCACUAGAGGAACAAGUAGCUACACGAUGCUCCUUGAGCUGUCUGGCGAGAGUAGGAAGAAGGGCUCGGCUCGCUCUCUUCUCCUCCCUAUAUGGUGUCUAAAACUAGCAUGGAUCCCCCUUGCAUGGGUGUCCCGGUGGGUUUAUAUAGGCCUACCCCCCGGGGGUACAAUGGUAAUCUGGCUGGGCGUGGGGCCCAGCCAUCUGUGUCUUUACUCGCCGGCUUCUGCGCUGGCUGGUAGGGCUCGCCGGCUGGUGGGUCCCACCGGCUGCCGGCUCCUGGGUUGACAGGCAGGCCCCACUGUCCAGGGCCUUGUUGGUGGCUGGUUACUGUCGCUCAAUCCUGGUGACGAGGGCUUCGCCGAGGUGGGCGUGGCUACAGUGCCGCCGUCCGGCGGGUGAUCGCUGUAGCCUCACCGCGUCUUGUCUCCUUAAUGGGGCGUCUCCUUCGAGGGAGGUGGCAAGCCGGCUGUGGAGAGCCGGCUCUGUCUUGGACCGACUGGGGGGGGCUUGGCUGCCUUCGGGUGUCUCUUUGCCCGAAGGGGCCCACCGCCCGUGGGCUGCCCUGGCAGCCUGUCGUGGAUGGCAUCAGGGUCAAUGUGGCAACAAUGCCGCGCCGGACGGGUCAUGGCCACCCGUACGGCGCACUGUGCCACGCAUGCUCCGGGAUUCGGGGGUGGCAGGCUUUACUGUAGCCACGCCCCGUCACAUCGCUGUUAUGUGGAUGCAGACUUCGAGGGUACGAUCUUGACCGCUUUGUGGGAGCCGGCUUCUUGGAGUCGGCCUUCUUGCGGCCGGCUUCUCGGAGCCAGCCCUCCCGUGGCUUUCUUCAUGAGGGCUGAAGUCGGGCCGCCUUCCGAUAGUCGGCCUGGGAGACAGCCGACAAGGGGAAGGCGGCCCCAUGUCUUGGAUUCUAGAGGGCCGGAUCGGCUCAUAAUUUUUUCAGAAGGGCCAGGGGGAGCCGGCUAUGCUACCCGUUGUCAUUUACUCCGACAGUAGUCCCCGAAGCUGAUCGAGCUUCGAGGCUGACAAAGGGACGAGAAGCUUGGUAAGCUUCCUAUCCUGAGGGGCCGGCUUUGCUUGUGCGCACCGUCUUCGGAGAGCUCCGUUUCUCGUAGGCGGGAAUGCGGGUCGGCCUGCGAUCUGACCAUGCGCCAUCCCACGGGCCACGUGGCAAGGAAAUCCUGCCAACGCACACGCGCGACGGGAUGCUGCCGCAGGCCCGGGCCCGUCGCCCCUAGGCCUCGGCCCGAGCGCGGAUCUUCUGCGGCCCACGCGGACCGCUCGCCUUCCCGCGGCGGUUUUAUUACGCCAUCAAGGCUCUAUAAUCGCAGGACGUGGGGGAGUGGGCGCAGUUGAUCCCACGUUCCCCCACACCACGCCUCCUCGGCUCUGCCGUGCGGGUCUAUAAGUAGGGGGAGGAGGGGGAGCGCCAGAGGCUCGCACGCUCUCCCUCGCUCCGCCCCUUCUCGCCUUCCUUCUUCUUCCCUUCGCCGCCGCAGCAACCCAUUGCCGUGUCGUUCCGCCGUCGGGCCUCUCGGUUCUUUUGGUCCCGCCGUAGCGGGGUCGUGCGCCUCUCCGCCGUCGCAUCGUCUUGCUCCUCGCUGCGUCGCUCCCAUGGCGUUGUCGAGCUCGUGGGAUGGCUCCAACGUCCACGAGGACCAUGUCGAGUUCCUCCGCCGGACGCGGCGCCUGCCGGGCGAGAACUUCGUGCGGGUUUGUUAGGCGCCAGCGAGGGAGAUCUCGCCGGCGCUGGAGGAGGGCGAGCAGGUGAUCUUCCGCUCGCACUGCCUGCGCGGCUUUGGCCUCCCGGCGAGCGGAUUCCUUCGAGCUUUCCUUGAAUUCUACCACCUCCAGCCGCAUCACCUCACGCCCAACGCGGUGAUGCUGCUGUCGGCUUUCGUCACCCUGUGCGAGGGCUUUCUUGGGGUUCUCCCCACUCUCGAGCUCUAGGGGGAAUUCUUCCAGAGCAAGCUCGGCACCGUCGUCACAGGCAUGCCCGCCCCCUGCGGAGCCUUCAUUGCCAUGAGGCGGACGGGCGAGAACAAUCCGUUCCCACCCAUCCCGCUGAUCCAGUCGGUGAAGCUCUGGCAGAAGUCGUACUUUUACGUGAAGAACGUCGCCCAGCAAGGCGACUACAUCAACCUGCCGGCUUACGUAGCCGGCCCGCCGGCUGGGAGGCAACCUUCAUGGAGCUACCGGGCCAGGUCGUUGUCUCAGGCCGGGAACACAGCCGUCUCCCGGCUCCGGGUGAUGAUCCAGUCGGAGGGCCUGAUCGGAGCCGACUUGGUGGCCGAGCACCGACUACUUCCGCUCCAAGGCCGGCCUCACAUGAUUUGCCAGAUGAGCGGCCGCUUCGACCCGUGCCGGCUGAGCACCAGGGAGAUGCCUCAUGCAGAGGUGUCUUACAUGGUGAACUACAUCUCCAACUGCAAGCUCGCCGAGGAUUGGCGAUACGGCAAGGGGUCGUAUUACCGUGCCAACCCUCCGCCUGCCGUAAGUUUUCUUCUUUUCUUCCUUUUUGUAGCCGGCCUCAUGAUAGCCGACCUCUGAUCAGUUGGUUUGCCCUUAGCAGAAUCCUCUUCUUCCGCCGACGGUCGGGGCCGCAGGGGUAGAGCGCCAGCUCCGCCCCGACCGCACGGUGGACGACACCGAUGACCCGGACCUGGGAGCGACCGCCAUGGAAGAUGCCAUCAUGGGGUAAGGCGACGAGGCAGGAGGCGCGGGGCUCGGGGCCGGCUUCGAGGACUGGCCGGACGACGUCGAGGUCGAAGCCGCCCCGCAUUGCCAGCCGGCGCUUGAUCAUCAAGGCGCGGGCUCGUCUGCCGCGCCGGCUGCCCGUGGUGGCGCGCAGAAGCGUCGGGCCGCGUCGACCUUCUUCGGCAGCCAGCCGAAGAAAUCCAUGGCUUCCACGGCGGCGACCAAGCGGGAUGAUGCGGCCGCGAAGGCGGCCCGCUUCCGCAAGGCGGUGAAACAGCCGCAGGCGAUCUCGGCGUAAGUCGUCGAAUGUCUUGUAUAUUUUAUAUAUUUUUUUUGUUGUCCUUUUCGAUUGAAGCCCUUCUAAACCUUUCUUUGCUCGCCGGACAGGGCACCGCUUUCCCUUGAGCGAGGUCCUGGCAGCUCCAUAGUCGGGCCGACUGGAGGGUCCUCAGGCUCCCGUCGCGUGGAUCCCCGUGCCGACCUUAGGGAGGCCAAGGAGCGGAACGCACGAGAGGCGCGAGAGGAGUGGGAGGCGGCGGAGCGAAGGACCGCCCAGGCGGCGAAGGAGCAGGCCGAUGCAGCGGCCAAGGCCUGGGCAGAGGCGGCAGCCGUGGAGACGGAUGCGGAGGCCUCGCACAACUAGCCUCCGCUGCUCGUCGUUCCCCUCCGCGCCGUGGCCCCCGACAUCCCCGUGCCCCUGUCGGAGGAGGUCGACCAAGACCCGCCAGUGAUGGAGAGGAGAGAGGACCACGUUGUCUCCGUGGAAGGGGCGCCGCAGACGGUGCCGACUGGAGCGGGCCAAAGCGGCCAAUCAGCCGCGGUGCCAGAGCAGCCGGCCGGGGGCGAGCCGGAGGCAGGAGCCGGCCUCGAGGUACAGCCGGCAUUGCUCCGGCGCGCAGGGGGAGGCAUGUCACACCCUCGAUGCGGCUAUAUCUCCCACGUGUCGAAGCACGACUUAGAGGCAUAACCGCAUUGAAAGCAAUGUCGCAAGUGAGGUAAUCUUCACACAACCCAUGUAAUACAUAAGGGAAAGAGAUACAUAGUUGGCUUACAAUCGCCACUUCACACAAGUACAUGAGUAAAACAUUACAUCAUCCAAAUACACUCAUAGUCCGACUACGGCACCAAAAUAAAAGAAGAACCCCAAAAGCGACAAAGGUCCCCGAUCGACCCCAACUGGGCUCCACUACUGAUCUACUAGAACGGAACAACACAAAGGACAAGAUCUUCAUCGAGCUCCUCCUGAGCUGGGUUGCGUCAUCUGUACGGACUCAUCGACACCUGCAAGAUGGUUUUGGAAGUAUCUGUGAGUCACGGGGACUCAGCAAUCUCGCACCCUCGCGAUCAAGACUAUUUAAGCUUAUGGGUAAGGUAAAGGUAUGAGGUGGAGCUGCAGCAAGCGACUAGCAUAUAUGGUGGCUAACAUACGCAACUGAGAGCGAGAAGAGAAAGCAAAGCACGGUCGAUAAAAGUAUGAUCAAGAAGUGAUCCUAAAACAACCUACGUCAAGUAUAACUCCAACAACCGUGUUCACUUCCCGGACUCCGCCGAAAAGAGACCAUCACGGUUACACACGCGGUUAAUUCAUUUUAAUUAAGGUCAACUUCAGGUUUUCUACAACUGGACUUUAACAAAUUCCCAUCUGCCCAUAACCGCGGGCACGACUUUCGAAAGUUCAAAUCCCUGCACGGGUGUCCCAACUUAGCCCAUCACAAGCUCUCACGGUCAACGAAGGAAUAGACCUCCUCCCGAGACAUUCCGAUCAGACCCGGUAUCCCGGUUCUACAAGACAUUUCGACAGGGUAAAACUAAACCAGCAACACCACCCAGAUGUGCCGACAAAUCCCGAUAGGAGCUGCACAUAUCUCGUUCUCAGGGCACACCGGAUGAGCAAGACAUUGGGUAAGCCAGCCCAGAGUUGCCCCUGGUAGCCUCGGACAUCGUUCAGUUGGACCAACACUCAGAGGAGCACUGGCCCGGGGGGGUAAAAUAAUGAUGACCCUCAAGAGCGCAACUCCCAAGGGAAAAGAAAAGGUUAGGUGGCGAAUGGUAAAACCAAUGUUGGACAUUGCUGGAAGAGCUUUACUUAAGGCGAACUGUCAAGGGGUUCCCAUAAUUACCCAACCGCGUAAGGAACGCAAAAUCCGGGAACAUAACACGGAUAUGACGGAAACUAGGGCGGCAAGAGUGGAACAAAACACCAGGCAUAAGGCCGAGCCUUCCACCCUUUACCAAGUAUAUAGAUGCAUUAAUUAAAUAAGACAUAUAGUGAUAUCCCAACAAGUAAACAUGUUCCAACAAGGAACAACAUCUCCAUGUUCCAACAGGGAACAAACUUCAAUCUUCACCUGCAACUAACAACGCUAUAAGAGGGGCUGAGCAAAGCGGUAACAUAGCCAAACAACAGUUUGCUAGGACAAGGUGGGUUAGAGGCUUGGUUCAACAAUGUGGAAGGCAUGAUAAGCAAGUGGUAGGUAUCGCGGCAUAGGCAGAGCAAAAGAGCGAGCAACUAGCAAGCAAAGAUAGAAGUGAUUUCGAGGGUAUGGUCAUCUUGCCUGAGAUCCCGCAAGGAAGAAGAGCGAGUCCAUGAAGAAGACAAACGGACGUAGACGAACGGGUCCUCACAAACGCUACGUUAUCGAAACCAACCCGAAGAAGCAACACCGGAAAGAAGCACACAACAUAGUAAACAACCAACACAUAACAUGGCAUGAUGCGCAAACAGGUAUGAUGCAUGUCCGGUUAAAAUAUGCAUGGCAUGGCAAAGUGCAACAAACAACACUACAAGUUAAGUGGAGCACAAUAUGCAACGGAGUUGUAUAUUGAAGAAAACACCACAUGACUUAUUUAGUUCUCUCUCGGUUAUGUACCCAACAAUAUUAAAUGUUGUUAAGCAUGUCAAGAGGUGAAACAUAAAGGGAUUAUCUAUCUAAACAAUUUAAAUGGGGCCGGAUAUAGCAAACAACAAAUCCGGUAAAUCCCCAUAUGCAUUAGUAAUUUGAUGCAACAACAAUUUAAGCCAUCUUAAUGUUGUUAACAUGAUGCGGAUGACAUGCUCAAGUUUUAUGCAAUUUUAAGAAAAGUUGACAAGAGCAUAUUAAGAAGCAUUUGGUCGCCAUGGAGGAACAAAAGGGGUGUCACGACAACUCAUUGAGAUGUCGGUGCAAGAGAAAAUGUGGAUGAACGGAUCAUGCGAGGAUGGUGGGGUGAUCCCGGAUACCGGUUUUCCCAUGGGUCGACGGCAUGGCAACCGAGGAGGAAUGACUAACGUACACGGGCGAAAACAACAACUAAACAUGCAUCUUAUACACACAUGCUUUCGUCCACGGGUCAUUGUCUCGGCGGUUAUACCUUCCAGGUGCAUUCUCGGAGCGGUUCGGGUUUGUAGAGGAAGUAGAGGAAGUAGUCGUCCACGGCGACGGUCGUUGUACACGGGCCUUCAGCCACGAAAGUAGUCGUACAACAUUUUCAUAGAGGGACUUGACGAAUACGAGUAACUUGGGUUCAAGGGUGGUCGUUCACAUCCAUAGUCACACAAGGUUCCGUAAAUGUUCGGGGUCUCGGCGAGGAACUCGGCGUUUCGGUGCGAUGUAGGGGUACAAGUCGAAGGUCGUCGUGGUACUUGGGUCUUGGCGGUUCGUCGUGUAGUCGUACAUGCAUCGUAGAGGAACUUGGUCUUGCGAAGAGGUACUUGACGGUAGUGGUACUUGACGCGUUCGAGGGUCGUUCAUGUCACGGUACUUGGCAAAAUCCUUGGAGAAGGUGCUUGCCGGUCCGGGUAGGGUUCUUGGGUUCUUGGUGUCUCAUCCUUGCUUAUCCAAAACACACACGAGACGGAAGGCCUCUAGUGGGCAGCAGCAAGGCAGGGACGGGAGGAUCCGACCCAACGCGACUGGAUCUGGUGAUCUCUGGUGACGAACGUAGCAGGACGGCGACAUGAUGCUUGACAGCAAGGACCUGAAGCGAGGAGGAGGCCACGGCAAGAGGUCGGCGACAUGGUGGAGCAAGGUAGGGGCUCCGGUCCACUUCUGUUGUUGACGCCGGCACCGUAGAUGAGGCAGGGAGACAGCGCGGUGCUCUUGGGGUCCCCUGCCCGCGAGCACAUGGGUGCACGGGGCUGGUCCUCGAGCAGAACGCCGGCGAGGAGGAAAGGUGCGAGGGAGAUGACUGCAGAUCGACGGAACUUGGCGCCUCGAUGGAAAGCAACAGCAGCGAGCGGCUCCAGGAGAGGGACUGCUCGGCAAAGGUCAUGGAGGCAGGGUCGGCCGGAGCUUCGAGCUCGGUGGCCUUGGCAGGACGACGAGGAGGCCGGAGGAGGAGGGCCAUGGAGGAGGCGCAGGAGUCUUGCCAGCGAGGAGAAGCAGAGGCUUCAAGGCGGCGGAGGUAGCGGACAGAGGGACCGGGCGUGGGGGUGCGUGGCCAUGGGGAUCGGGCUCCGUCUUCUGUGCAUGGUGACGGCCUGAGGGAAGAGACGAGGGAAAGAGGAGGGAUCAAGAGCGGGCGCUCUGUCCCUGGCGGCGCGAGAGGGACCGGGGGAAGGGAGCGAGAUGGCGUAGGGCUAGGGUUAGCGAGGGGAGAGGCUGGGCCUUAGAGGCUGUGCUGGAAGAAAGGGCCGGCCGGCGGCUGGUUGGGCCUAGGGAUGGCCCUAGAGGCUGGCCUGCUGGUCUCUCUCCUCUCUCUCCUAUUUCCUUUUCUUUAAAAAAUAGAGAAAUAAAGAGAAAGGAAAAGAGAUAAAAGAAGGUUAGAGGAAGAAUUUGGGCAUGCGAAUAAUAUUCCCGGACUCGCAAAAAUGCGCAUGUUCCAAGAAAAAUGGAGUGGGCAUUUUUGAAAGUUUUAAAUUCAAACUCAUUUGAUUUAAAAUCAAAUGGUUUGAAUAGGAAGUGAGGGUUAGGAAGGUUCAAAAAUGUUCGGAUUUUUGGAGGAGCCCCGGGAAAGAGAUGAAAGAAAUUAUGGACAAAGUUUGGGGACCAAACUUGAAGCGAGAAAAGGCAUGUGAUUAUUUGCAAGUGUGUUAUGGGUGAUUCCAAAAGAAUGGAAAUAUUUAUAAUAGCUCCAUAAAUAUUAGGAGGAUAAUGUUAUAAAGAGAAGUCACCCUUCCCUCGAUUUAAAUGGAUCGAAGAUCCACACAAAUUAUUUAGUGGGUUUUAAGACGGGUUGCAUAUGACAUGAUGACAUGAUGCAAGGCACAUGAUGCAAAGGGGAAAGCAGCAAGCAAACAAAACACCCAACGAAACCCAGAAUCCAUGGAUGGCAUCUGAAUCUCCGGUCUUGGGGUGUUACAACACUCCACCACUACGAGAGGAUCUCGUCCCGAGAUCUAGAAUGGCACCGGAGGAACAACGGAAGAGAAAGAUAAGAGGUAAAACUAAGUUGCUCCUUUGCCAAACGAGUGAAACCAAAGAACCCUGAAAAAAGGUUAAGCCAUAUCCAGAACAGAAUACAACGGAGAUGACGAAGCUGAGAACACUCCGUUAGAAAAGAGGAACAAGGAAGAACAACUUCGGGCAGCACUCCGAUUGAAAAGAAAAGGAAUUGAAUAAGAACUUGGUAAGGUGACAGAACUUGAAAAGAGGGCACGACACUCCGGUUAAAUGGACAAUCAUGAAAAAAACAUGAUCUUUGACAAACGAGAUGAUGGGUUGAGAAGAUCAACAUCACAAUGCCUCUGGAACAGAAAAAAGAAUGGAAUGGAAUGAACGACGAGAAACAAGAUCUUGAGGGAGCAUGCUUACAACAAAUGGUAGAAUGGAGUUGUUGGAAAACCAACAACGAAAAGAAUAAGCUUUAUAUGGUCUUAUGGGAUACAUCUCAAAUCAUGAGGUGACCACCUGCCACUCACGGGAAAAGAAUAGGAUUGAUAUGAACGAGGAGACGAGAAAACCAAUUUCACCGGGAGGAUAAAUGAAGAACUUGGGUCAUUGGUAAGCACCGUAAAUAGCAACAAUCCUUAGGGAAGGUUUUAGGUGAAUAUAACCCAAGGUAACUUCAAUGACGAGAUUGAUGGAUUUAAAAUAUCUCAUUCAUGACAACAUGUGAAUCAUGAAAACAUGAACUCAAAUUAUCAAGAAUGACAUAAUACCACCUCAAACGAUACGGUUGAAAGAAUUGCAUUUCAAAAUGCCAGAUAAAGAAUGCUUGAGUUCCUCUGAAAAGAAUCUCAAUGACCACUUUGAGAAGGGAUUAAAUCCUUGAUGAACCAUCAUGUAGAACCUCCAUGAAGAACUCUGGUAAUAAAAGAAUGAUCCAAAAUAAUUGACUGAUGAAAAGAAUAAGAUUGAAGCCUCGCAAUUAUUUAGAUAGAGAUCUCCAUGAUAAUAUAAUUGAAAGAAGGUUGGAACUCCGGGAAAAGAUAAGAUGAGCAAUUGACAACGAGAAUUAGUUAUUGUGAACAAACUCCGGAGGAACGAAUCCAUCAUUUAGGUGAAGCAAGAAUAAGAAUUAUGUUAUGCGUAUCCUCCACCAAUACAAAUUGAUGACAACCAAAGGAAUUGGCAUACUACUUAUUCUCAUAGAAAGGAUUAAGAUAGAUAAUGCGCAAACUUGAAGAGGCCUUCGAUGAACCACCGGUAGGAUUUGAAAGAACGGAAGUAUGAUAAUAUAAGAAGAGGAAUCUUGAACAAACCACCGUAAGAACUGAAAAUGAAUUAAGAGAAGAUAAAGAAACACCGGGAAGAAUAGUGAAAUGAACAAAGAUACUAGAGACAAUCUAGAUACAUAAGAACGAAUAAAUCACGAGGUGAUAAGAGAAUACUUAAGUGAUGCACCGGUAUUGAAGAAUGAUAACUGACAACUGAGAAUGAAUAAACCUGAAUUGAUGGACACCGGAUAAUCAAACCGAGAAGACUCUUGAAUUGCUCCGGAUAGGUGAAAAGAAUUCUCACAAUCAAACAAUUAUGAGAGGAUGGCCGAGAAUGGGGCAAGAUAUGGAGGAAAACUCUUCUUCGGUCUUCAAAUGAUGAGAAUGGCAACAAGAAGCACCACCAAGAAUUAUUGAGGCACACCUGAAUGAAGAAUGGAAAAGUUGAGCCAACGAUGAAAAGAAUUUGAAAGAACUUGGAGAAAGGCAAUUGACUGAUGAUAAAUCAUUCUUACGUCAAACUUCGAAAACAAGAUUUGAGGAUAGCUCCGGGAAAAUAAGAAGAGUCAUUUAAGAUCCUGGGAAAAGACCUGUGGGUUAGGGCCCACUGAAAAGAAACACCGUUGAACGAUUUAAGAGAGAAAACACCGGUUGAAUUAAAUGGCUUGAAUGAGAUAACAACCUCGAAAGAUAUUGAAUGAAUGCAGAGUGGAAAACACGAAUCUUCUGAGAUAUCUUCAGCACUCCUGAACAAAUGAAUAGCGAGAAGUGAAUGAUUAAGAGGUACGCCGGCAAGAGAAGACAUUUAAAAUACGGAAAAGAAUAUGAUCAACAUCGAAAGCUUGAAUUGGUUCCACCGGAGAAGAAAAUGAGUGAAGAGUGACGAACUUGAAUCUCUGUUAGAAUCUUCAGGAGAAUCACCGGAUAAGGAUAUUGAUUGAAAAGAAUGGAGAGACUUCACAUCAGUAAAAUGGAUAGUUGAUUAAGAAAUUCGAGUCCUCGAAGAAAAAGGGUGGGUGGGCGGGAAAACAAAGGCAACUUGGGGACGGAUGAAACAAACACCGUUUAGAAGAAACAGAUACUUGAUCUUGUGGAUGUUGAAAUGAUCGGAUCCACUUGAAGAGAAACACACCGGUGAAAAGAAAUUGAAAUGACAAACUCGAUGAUCGAGAAGGAUUAGUAUUCACAUAGGAGUAUGAGAACACCAUUUAGGAAAAGGUAUGGAAUCAACAUUUGACAUUGAAGUAACUCGAAUACCACAACUCAAAACAAAAACAAAGGAUUGGCUUGCAGAAUAAGCCAGAACAAACAUAUGAUAUAGAUUUCGUCCGAAGUUUUCGUGGUGGGGCCUACACGGGCUCGAUCGUACAGCACCAUCAUGUACAAGGCAGUGCACAUGACAUACGAAGCAUCCCCGAGUCGGCAUAGCCAAGGACUCUUUAAGACACAACGAGACCACUGUAAAAUCGACCGUGAAUAGGCGGACCACUAGACGUCGAACCCCAAUUUCAUAUCAUACAUCUGUUGGAAAGAUAUCCUAAGAGCUACUUGAAUUCUCACUUAUGAAACUCCCGAACCUUUCUGGUUAUGCAAUCAGGUGUUGGGGAUACAGGGGAAGCAUAAUAUCUCACCCAAAACUAGCAAAUCCUACAUCCAGUUGUAUCCAUCCUUCAACACAUAACCAAGAAACCUUCAGAAAUCAUCUACCUCAACCUUCGAAAAGCAUCCGUUAUACAAGUUAUGGCAAUACUCCCGAACUCCCGCCCCAGUACUGGGUGGCGUCGAGGUUAUCUCACCAACGAACUGCAUAAAAGAGAUUUUCGAUGUCGGCGUACUAAACUCAGGUAUUCCAGAACUGCAACGAUAAAAUUAUGACGACAACACCUCGGAGCUCAACUCCCCGGGACACUUCCACAAAACCCCUGACAGGAGGCACCAAGACAAUGUUCUCGUCACAAAACCAUCGGAACGAUUCCAAGAUACCUGCGUGAUCCUAAAAAAUAUUUUUUAGUGAAAUUUGAGAAGAGAAGAGUCAAAACUCUAUGUCAGGAUGCCUUACCAGAGCGAUGAGGAGACUGGGAAGUAAAAAGAAUUCCUAAACUCUCCGAUAUAUAAUUCCUAAAUGACUCAAAACAUUUUUCUAGACACAACUCGGCCGCUAAAAAUGAUCAAGCAAUGGGGCUCCUAAGGUCGGGGAAGGCUCUGAUUACCAACUUGUCACGCCCUCGAUACGGCUAUAUCUCCCACGUGUCGAAGCACGACUUAGAGGCAUAACCGCAUUGAAAGCAAUGUCGCAAGUGAGGUAAUCUUCACACAACCCAUGUAAUACAUAAGGGAAAGAGAUACAUAGUUGGCUUACAAUCGCCACUUCACACAAGUACAUGAAUAAAACAUUACAUCAUCCAAAUACACUCAUGGUCCGACUACGGCACCAAAAUAAAAGAAGAACCCCAAAAGCCAAAGGUCCCCGAUCGACCCCAACUGGGCUCCACUACUAAUCUACUAGAACGGAACAACACAAAGGACAAGAUCUUCAUCGAGCUCCUCCUGAGCUAGGUUGCGUCAUCUAUACGGACUCAUCGGCACUUGCAAGCUGGUUUUGGAAGUAUUUGUGAGUCACGGGGACUCAACAAUCUCGCACCCUCGCGAUCAAGACUAUUUAAGCUUAUGGGUAAGGUAAAGGUAUGAGGUGGAGCUGCAGCAAGCGACUAGCAUAUAUGGUGGCUAACAUACGCAAAUGAGAGCGAGAAGAGAAAGCAAAGCACGGUCGAUAAAAGUAUGAUCAAGAAGUGAUCCUAAAACAACCUACGUCAAGUAUAACUCCAACAACCGUGUUCACUUCCCGGACUCCGCCGGAAAGAGACCAUCACGGUUACACACGCGGUUGACUCAUUUUAAUUAAGGUCAACUUCAGGUUUUCUACAACCGGACGUUAACAAAUUCCCAUCUGCCCAUAAUCAUGGGCAUGGCUUUCGAAAGUUCAAAUCCCUGCAGGGGUGUCCCAACUUAGUGUUGGAAAUAUGCCCUAGAGGCAAUAAUAAAAGUAUUAUUAUUAUAUUUCUUUGUUCAUGAUAAUAGUAUUUUAUUCAUGCUAUAACUGUAUUAUCCGGAAAUCGUAAUACACGUGUGAAUACAUAGACCACAAUAUGUCCCUAGUGAGCCUCUAGUUGACUAGCUCGUUGUGAUCAACAGAUAGUCAUGGUUUCCUGGCUAUGGACAUUGGAUGUUGUUGAUAACGGGAUCACAUCAUUAGGAGAAUGAUGUGAUGGACAAGACCCAAUCCUAAGCAUAGCACAAAGGUCGGUUAGUUCGUUUGCUAGAGCUUUUCCAAUGUCAAGUAUCUCUUCCUUCGACCAUGAGAUCGUGUAACUCCCGGAUACCGUAGGAGUGCUUUGGGUGUACCAAACGUCACAACGUAACUGGGUGAUUAUAAAGGUGCAUUACAGGUAUCUCUGAAAGUGUCUGUUGGGUUGACACGGAUCGAGACUGGGAUUUGUCACUCCGUAUGACGGAGAGGUAUCUCUGGGCCCACUCGGUAAUGCAUCAUCAUAAUGAGCUCAAGGUGACCAAGUGUCUGGUCACGGGAUCAUGCAUUACGGUACGAGUAAAAUGACUUGCCGGUAACGAGACUGAACAAGGUAUUGGGAUACCGACGAUCGGGUCUCGGGCAAGUAACAUACCGAUUGACAAAGGGAAUUGUAUACGGGGUUUGAUCGAAUCCUCAACAUCGUGGUUCAUCCGAUGACAUCAUCGAGGAGCAUGUGGGAGCCAACAUGGGUAUCCAGAUCCCGUUGUUGGUUAUUGACCGGAGAGUCUCGGUCAUGUCUGCAUGUCUCCCGAACCCGUAGGGUCUACACACUUAAGGUUCGGUGACGCUAGGGUUAUCAGGAAGACAAGUAUCUGAUUACUGAAUGUUGUUCGGAGUCCCGGAUGGGAUCCCGGACGUCACGAGGAGUCCUGGAAUGGUCCGGAGGUAAAGUUUUAUAUAUGGGAAGUUGUUAAACGGGCACCGGAAAGUUUCGGGGUCAUACCGGUAUUGUACCGGGACCACCGGAAAGGUUCCGGGGGUCCAUCGGGAGGGACCCCCCUUCCCGGGGGGGCACUUGGGCUGCGUAGGGAUAGCAGCCAGCCCCUAGUGGGCUUGGCGCCCCCCCCCCUUGGGCCCAUGCGCCUAGGAUUGGGGGGGAAACCCUAAAGGGGGCGCACCCCCUUGCUUGGGGGGCAAGCCCCCCACCCUUUGGCCGCCGCCCCCCUCUAGGGUUUCCCCUAGAGGGCCGGCCCCCUUGCCCCUCUCCUCCUAUAUAUAGAGGGGUGAGGGGAGGGCUGCAAGACCACAACUCAAGGCGCAGCCCCUCCCCUCCCCAACACCUCUCCUCCUCCGUACGUGCUCGGCGAAGCUCUGUCGGAAUACUGCUGCACCAACUGCACCACGCCGUCGUGCUGCCCUUGGAGCUGCCUUCCUCAACCUAUCCUUCCUCCUUGCUGGAUCAAGACGGAGGAGACGUCCAUCGUCCCGUACGUGUGUUGAACGCGGAGGUGCUGUCCGUUCAGCACUUGGUCAUCGGUGAUCCGAAUCACGACGAGUACGACUCCAUCAUCACCAUCCCCUUGAACGCUUCCGCACUAGAUCUACAAGUGGUAUGUAGAUGCAAACUCUUCCCCUUGACUCGUUGCUUAGAUGAACUCAUAGAUGGAUCUUGGUGAAACCGUAGGAAAAAUUUUAAUUUUCUGCAACGUUCCCCAACACUUAGCCCAUCACAAGCUCUCACGGUCAAUGAAGGGAUAUACCUCCUCCCGAGACAUUCCGAUCAGACCCGGUAUCCCGGUUCUACAAGACAUUUCGACAGGGUAAAACUAAACCAGCAACACCACCCAGAUGUGCCGACAAAUCCCGAUAGGAGCUGCACAUAUCUCAUUCUCAGGGCACACCGGAUGAGCAAGAUGUCGGGUAAGCCAGCCCAGAGUUGCCCCUGGUAGCCUCGGACAUCGCUCAGUUGGACCAACACUCAUAGGAGCACUGGCCCGGGGGGGGGGGUAAAAUAAUGAUGACCCUCAGGAGCGUGACUCCCAAGGGAAAACAAAAGGCUAGGUGGCGAAUGGUAAAACCAAUGUUGGGCAUUGCUGGAAGAGCUUUACUUAAGGCGAACUAUCAAGGGGUUCCCAUAAUUACCCAACCGUGUAAGGAACGCAAAAUCCGGGAACAUAACACCGAUAUGACGGAAACUAGGGCGGCAAGAGUGGAACAAAACACCAGGCAUAAGGCCGAGCCUUCCACCCUUUACCAAGUAUAUAGAUGCAUUAAUUAAAUAAGACAUAUAGUGAUAUCCCAACAAGUAAACAUGUUCCAACAAGGAACAACAUCUCCAUGUUCCAACAGGGAACAAACUUCAAUCUUCACCUGCAACUAACAACGCUAUAAGAGGGGCUGAGCAAAGCGGUAACAUAGCCAAACAACAGUUUGCUAGGACAAGGUGGGUUAGAGGCUUGGUUCAACAAUGUGGGAGGCAUGAUAAGCAAGUGGUAGGUAUCGCGGCAUAGGCAGAGCAAAAGAGCGAGCAACUAGCAAGCAAAGAUAGAAGUGAUUUCGAGGGUAUGGUCAUCUUGCCUGAGAUCCCGCAAGGAAGAAGAGCGAGUCCAUGAAGAAGACAAACGGACGUAGACGAACGGGUCCUCACAAACGCUACGUUAUCGAAACCAACCCGAAGAAGCAACACCGGAAAGAAGCACACAACAUAGUAAACAACCAACACAUAACAUGGCAUGAUGCGCAAACAUGUAUGAUGCAUGUCCGGUUAAAAUAUGCAUGGCAUGGCAAAGUGCAACAAACAACACUACAAGUUAAGUGGAGCACAAUAUGCAACGGAGUUGUAUAUUGAAGAAAACACCACAUGACUUAUUUAGUUCUCUCUCGGUUAUGUACCCAACAAUAUUAAAUGUUGUUAAGCAUGUCAAGAGGUGAAACAUAAAGGGAUUAUCUAUCUAAACAAUUUAAAUGGGGCCGGAUAUAGCAAACAACAAAUCCGAUAAAUCCCCAUAUGCAUUAGUAAUUUGAUGCAACAACAAUUUAAGCCAUCUUAAUGUUGUUAACAUGAUGCGGAUGACAUGCUCAAGUUUUAUGCAAUUUUAAGAAAAGUUGACAAGAGCAUAUUAAGAAGCAUUUGGUCGCCAUGGAGGAACAAAAGGGGUGUCACGACAACUCAUUGAGAUGUCGGUGCAAGAGAAAAUGUGGAUGAACGGAUCAUGCGAGGAUGGUGGGGUGAUCCCGGAUACCGGUUUUCCCAUGGGUCGACGGCAUGGCAACCGAGGAGGAACGACUAAUGUACACGGGCGAAAACAACAACUAAACAUGCAUCUCAUACACACAUGCUUUCGUCCACGUGUCAUCAUCUCGGUGGUUAUACCUUCCAGGUGCAUUCUUGGAGCGGUUCAGGUUCGUAGAGGAAGUAGAGGAAGUAGUCGUCCACGGCGACGGUCGUUGUACACGGGCCUUCGGCCAUGGAAGUAGUCGUACAUAGUUUUCGUAGAGGGACUUGACGAAUCCGAGUAACUUGGGUUCAAUGGUGGUCAUUCACAUCCAUAGUCACACAAGGUUCCGUAAAUGUUCGGGGUCUCGGCGAGGAACUCGGCGUUUCGAUGCGACGUAGGGGUACAAGUCGAAGGUCGUCGUGGUACUUGGGUCUUGGCGGUUCGUCGUGUAGUCGUACAUGCAUCGUAGAGGAACUUGGUCUUGCGAAGAGGUACUUGACGGUAGUGGUACUUGAUGCGUUCGAGGGUCGUUCAUGUCACGGUACUUGGCAAAAUCCUUGGAGAAGGUGCUUGCCGGUCCGGGUAGGGUUCUUGGGUUCUUGGUGUCUCAUCCUUGCUGAUCCAAAACACACACGAGAAGUGAGGGUUAGGAAGGUUCAAAAAUGUUCGGAUUUUUGGAGGAGCCCCGGGAAAGCGAUGAAAGAAAUUAUGGACAAAGUUUGGGGACCAAACUUGAAGCGAGAAAAGGCAUGUGAUUAUUUGCAAGUGUGUUAUGAGUGGUUCCAAAAGAAUGGAAAUAUUUAUAAUAGCUCCAUAAAUAUUAGGAGGAUAAUGUUAUAAAGAGAAGUCACCCUUCCCUCGAUUUAAAUGGAUCGAAGAUCCACACAAAUUAUUUAGUGGGUUUUAAGACGGGUUGCAUAUGACAUGAUGACAUGAUGCAAAGGGGAAAGCAGCAAGCAAACAAAACACGUGACGAAACCCAGAAUCCAUGGAUGGCAUCUGAAUCUCCGGUCUUGGGGCGUUACAAGGCACCUCCGCGCCGAAGCCGCACCGAGCUGCGGGCGCCAGCCAGACGGCAGAGGCCCUAGAGGCGGCCAGCGCCAGCACGUCCGAGUGGACUCCCAGCGGGGGGACGGGCAGCUGAACACGGCGGCCCAGGAGGUCCGGAACCGGCUUCAAGCCCAAGCCGCCUCGCUGUAGCGAUACACCCAAGAGUUCCUCACAACGCGGGCCAUCAUCCGGGUGAGUCUUCUGGCCUUGGUUGUUUUGCUCUUUUGAUUUCUUCCGUGGGGGCGCGUCAGCGCACCCACUGGGUGUAGUCCCCAAGUUCCGAGUCGGCUGCUGCGCAGGCGGCUUGGAACUUACUAGGUCCUGACAAAUAUCUUAUUCUCGCCUCCUGUCUGAUCUUCCAGGAGUAUCAUAACCUCCGUGCUGCUGCCUUCAACUCCCAGGCUCAGGAGUUGGGCCGGAGAACCGAAGACCUGACCAGCAGCCGGAGUGCGUGCUUUGUUUCGUUCAUCUCCUGUGGGGGCGCGUCAGUGCACCCACUGGGUGUAGUCCCCGAGAUUCGGGACGACUGCUGAGCAGUCGGGUCAGAUCUUCCUUGACGACUUCUUCCUUAUUGAUUUUUCCUUUGUCUUCUUGCAGGAGCCAAUGCCGACUUGAGGGGGUAGCUCAGCGGGGCGCAGGCCGCCCUUCGCGCCAAGAAAGCCGAGUACAACGCCUUGGUCCUAGAGCGUGACCGCCUGGACAAGAAGUUGGCCAACCAGGAGGAGAGCCACAAGGCGGCCCUGAAGAAGGCGCAGGACAGUGAGGACGCCCUGAAGGCCGAGUUCGAGACUGAAGCGGCGGGCUGGGCUGAGACAAAGCAAGCGCUGAGCAAAGGCUUUGGUCGUAUUGAGGAUUUGAUCGAUGGUAAGCCGCCUUCCUCACUUCUUGCUUGCCCCUUGCCCCCUGAUUUGUGUUCUGACUGGUGCUGCUUUUUGUUCUCUAUGCAGACUACUUUCCCGGCUACUCCGUCUUCGCCACCCAAAUCGAGGCCCAUCGCGAAGCGCGCCGGCAGGCGGGGGCUGAAAUCGCGCCGGACGCGAGCUGGACGCUUGAGGAGCAACUCUUGGCGGUCCAAGCCCGGCUGCAGCCGGCUCACCGUAUGCUCCGCCGCCUCCAGCGUGCCGGGGCGCAGGUGUUGGCCGCCCUCUAGCCAGGCGAGACGAUUCCCCACACCCCGAGUCGGACUGCCGACUGGCUGGAGGUUGCGGUUGGCCGCUUCGAGGCCUGGAAAGCAUCGGCAGCCCGGCUUGGAGCUGGGCGGGCGCUGGAGUUCAUCCGAGCCUGGUAUCCGGGGCUGAACCUGGAUCAGCUACGCACCUGGCGGCUGGAGGCCGACGAGGAGAUGGAGGAGGUGCGGCUGGCCAUCGCUCAGCGUGCUUCGACGAUCGCCGAGUGCAUUGACAUCAGCGUCUUCGCUCCUAAAAUAAAUGACGAUGGCGUUGCCCAGCCGGAGGACUGGUUUGGGCUGGACCCGGCAACGGGUGAGGACUCGACAGAGGAGAUUGCCUCCAGUGAUGAAGGCGAAGACGACGAAGGAGAGGAAGGCGAAGACGUUGAGCCGGCCGGUGAAGCGGCCAGCCAGCCUCAGCCUGACCGUGCCUCCAGCAAUGAGGCGCGUGCAAGCGCGCCUUUUGGGGGAGGCGAUGAUCAUGCCGAGGUUCGCCAGCCGGCCACUCCUCCAACUGGCACUGCCGUCUCCACCGACCUGCCCGACUCGCCAGUCGCUCCCCUGGCUUAAUCUGUCAUCCUUGCUUUUCCUGCUUGUUACCCUUUGAACAAUUUUUAUUAAACUUGCGCAGUUCCACCCACUGGGGGUGUAUUCGAACUAUGUUGAAUGCUAGCCUUUUGAAGGUCUUUUGUGUAAAUAUGAUUGUGUGCGUGUUUGGUUUCCAUUCACGUCUGCUUUUUAUCCUUAGGUUGUUUCCUUUGCCGCCUUCCCCUUUUGGGGAGGCAAGUACUCGAGCUUUCUUAGAUUGAAGUGAGGUGAAUGGAAGCCGGCCGGCCGGCUACUCUCGUAGUCGGUCGGUGGUGGGAGAAAAACCGGCUUUUGUUAUAUUAGUCCGUUAGUCCCUAGCCGUUUUUCGUGUGGGCGUCCUUUCCUGCCUUUAACUCUUGCCAGCCGGACAGCCAGUUCUUCGAACUGCGACUUUUGGCAAGAGAAGGCUUGGGUGUCGGCAUACUACUUGUCUGACCGCGGGUAGGACUUCUAAUAUAACUCCAGGCAGCCAGUCCCCGGGCCGACUAGUCGAACCUGGUGCCGGACGAAAAAAGUGAAUGUAAUGACAAGGUCAUAAGCAUGAUAUUCUUCAUUUACAGAUAAAAGAUGGAAGUCCCCGAGCUCUGCUCGGGGGGCCUAUUGUCUCGUACUUAGUACAAAAGUUAGCAUGAUACAUACUGCAUUUCAACUGUAAAAUCUUCGGAGGAGGUUGGCGUUCCAUGGUCGUUUCGACUCCUUUCCGGAAUCAUCUCUCUUGCGUGCCUUCGGCUUCUGUGCGUCGAUUAGGUAGUAGGAGUCGUUGCCUAAAGCUCUGCUGAUGACGAAGGGGCCCUCCCAAGGGGCCGAGAGCUUGUGCUGGCCGGCUGUUCGCUGGAUCAGCCGGAGCACAAGAUCGCCCUCUUGGAAGGAUCUUGGCUUGACCUUCCGGUUGUGGUAGCGGCGCAGGCCCUGCUGAUAGAUGGCGGACCGGCUGAGGGCUAACAGCUGACCUUCUUCCAGCAGGUCGACGCCGUCUUCUCGUGCUUCCUUGGCCUCCGCCUCCGUGUACAUGGUUACCUGAGGCGAGUCGAACUCGAUGUCGGUUGGGAUGACCGCCUCGGCACCGUACACAAGGAAGAAAGGAGUGAAGUCGGUUGACUUGUUUGGGGUAGUGCACAGACUCCAGAGGAUGGGCGGCAGCUCGUCGAGCCAACAGCCGGCCGAACGUUCCAAUGGUACGACCAGUCGGGGCUUGAUGCCGGAAAGGAUGAGGUCGUUGGCUCGCUCGACCUGGCCGUUUGACUGCGGGUGGGCAACGGACGCUAAGUUCAACCGGAUGCCUUGCGUCGCGCAGAAAUGUGCCAAGGCUCCCUUGGCGAAAUUCGUGCCAUUGUCGGUGAUGAUGCUGUGUGGCACGCCGUACCGAGUUGUUAUAUCUGCGAUAAAUGUCACUACAGUCAGCCCAUUCAGCUUCUUGAUCGGCUUUGCCUCAAUCCAUUUGGUGAAUUUGUCCACAGCGACAAGCAGAUGUGUCAUGCCGCCGCGCGCCGUCUUGAAUGGGCCCACCAUGUCCAGUCCCCAAACGGCGAAGGGCCAAGUGAGGGGAAUGGUCUUGAGUGCCGAAGCCGGCAUGUGUUGCUUGGAGCUGAAGAGUUGGCACCCUUUGCAAUGUUUAACUAACUCCUUGGCGUCAUCCAAAGCAGUUGGCCAAAAGAAACCAUGGUGGAAAGCUUUGGCGAUGAGUGAUCUUGAGGCCGCAUGGUGGCCGCAUUCUCCUUGGUGGAUGUCUCUGAGGAUUGCAAUGCCCUUCUCUUGCUCGACACAUCGCUGGAGGACUCCAGUGACACUGCGCUUGACGAGCUCACUGUUGACGAUUGUGUGUGCUCCGGCUCGGCGUUGGACUUGUCUUGCCUCUGUUUCAUCAGCCGACAGAUCUUGGUUUAUUAGGAAGUUGAGGAUGGACUGAGCCCAUGAUGGAGCUGUGACUUCUUCUAUUGCCAACACGGCUACUGCGACCAGGGCGGGCGGGUUGGGUGGUGAAAUGCUGGAGUCGGCUGCCACCUGUUGCAUUGGUGCAAUCUCCGGGCCGACUACCGCAGUCCCCGGGUCGGGCGUAACUAUGGAAGUCCUCGAGCCGCUUGCUGAUGUCCCUGGGCCGACUAUCGAAGUCCUCAGGUCACCCGCUUGGUUCUUCGAGCCGGACCCGGUUGCAUUGGGGUCAGGCGGCACGAAGAUGGAAUCGGACCCUGGAGACGGCUUGAUAGACGGCUUGAGGAGGUGUUGUAGAGAGACACCGGUUGGUAUUGCUUGCCGAGUGGAGCCUAUUCGAGCCAGGGCAUCAGCUGGCUCGUUGUCGGCUCGCGGUAUGUGAAGGAACUCGCAUCCUUCAAAGUACCCACUGAUCUGCUAAACGAGGAAGCGGUAGUUUGCCAUAUUUGCGUCCUUGGCAUCCCAGUCGCUGGAUGAUUGCUGGACCACCAAGUCCGAGUCGCCAUAACAUAGGAUCUGGCGAAUGCCGAGUUCUUUGGCAAGCCGGAGCCUGUGUAUGAGUGCCUCGUACUCGGCCAUGUUGUUGGAGGCGGCAAAGUGAAUUUGUAGCGUGUAUCUGAGCUUGUCGCCUUUGGGAGAGGUGAGGAUGACGCCGGCUCCCAAGCCGGAGCGCAUCUUGGACCCGUCGAAGUGCAUGCGCCAAUGAGUGGAGUCCGGAGCUGGCAGCAGGUACUGGGUCUCAGCCCAGUCGACGAGGAAGUCGGCCAAUGCUUGGGACUUGAUGGCGGUGCGAGGCUGGUAGAAGAUCGUGUAGGGCGCCAGCUCGAUGGCCCAUUUCGCCACCUGGCCGGAUGCAUCCCGGCUACCUAUGAUCUCGGCAAGUGGGGCGGUGCAUACGACCGUGAUGGGAUGCUCUUGGAAGUAGGGCUUCAGCUUCUUGGCGGCGAAGUACACGCCAUAGCACAUCUUCUGGUAGUGCGGGUAGUUCUGCUUCGAGGUAGGCAGCACCUCGCUCAAAUAGUACACCGGCCUCUGGACCGGCUGGGCUCGGCCCUCUUCUGGGUGCUGGACUACGAUGACGGUGCUGACUACCCGGCUGGUUGCAGCAAUGUAGAGGAACAUGGGCUCUUUCUCAGUCGGCUCCGCCAGGACAGGCGGCGUGGCCAGCGUCUUCUUUAGCUCGUGAAAAGCUUGGUCGGCUUGGUCAUUCCACUCGAAGUGAUUGGUCUUCUUCAUGAGGCGGUAGAGGGGAAGAGCUUUCUCUCCGAGCCGGCUGAUGAAGCGGUUCAGGGAGGCCAAGCAUCCGGUAAACUUCUGGACGUCUCGAAGUUUGGUGGGAAUCGCCAUUCUCUCAAUGGCCUUGAUCUUUACUGGGUUGCAUUCGAUGCCGCGUUCGGAGACCAGGAAGCCUAGGAGCUGGCCGGCUGGCACUCCGAACACGCAUUUCUCGGGGUUGAGCUUGAUUUGGAACCGACGCAGGUUCUCAAAUAUUUCCUUGAGGUCUUCCAGCAAGGUGUCGCGCUUCUCCGUCUUCACCACAAUGUUGUCUACGUAGACGUGGGCAUUUCUGCCGAGCUGCUUGAGGAGGCACUUCUGCAUGCAACGCUGAAAAGUGGCAUCGGCAUUUCUUAAGCCGAAUGUCAUAGUCAGGUAGCAGAAGGCUCCGAAUGGCGUGAUGAAGGCGGUCUUCAGGCGGUCUGCCGGAUCUAACUUUAUCUGGUGGUAUCCUGAGUAAGCAUCCAAGAAACUCAACAGCUCGCAUCCGGCCGUGGAGUCUAUCACUUGAUCAAUCCUCGGCAGGGCAAAGGGAUCUUUGGGGCAGGCCUUGUUGAGGCUCGUGUAGUCUAUGCACAUGCGCCACUUGUUGUUCUUCUUUAGCAUGAGGACCGGGUUGGCGAGCCACUCUGAAAAGAAAACUUCCAUAAUGAAGCCGGCUGCCAGAAGCCGGGCUAUCUCUUCUCCUACAAUCCUUCUUUUCUCCUCUGACAGUCGGCGAAGGGGUUGUUUGACUGGUUUUGCGUCUUCUCGGACGUGUAGCUUGUGCUCGGCGAAUUCCUUCGGAACACCCGGCAUGUCCUUGGGGGACCAUGCAAAGAUGUCCCGAUUCUCACAGAGGAAAUCGGCGAGCUCGCCUUCCUAUUUGCUAUUUAGGUUUGCCCCGAUGACGGCAAACCUCUCUGGGUGCUCGGGGUCAAGAGGUAUCUUCUUCGUCUCCUUGGCCGGCUGGAAAGAUCCUUGGGCAUCAUACUCCUGGGGAUCGGGGGACAAGGCCGAUUGUUUGCCGGCCAUGGCCACAACUCGGUCCAACAUCUUCUUUUCUUCGGCGAUCACAAGGGACUCGGCCAGCCGGCUGCUGGCUGCUGCGCACUCGGAGGACUUCUUGUAAUCGCCGGCUAUGGUGAUGACGCCCUUGGUGCUCGGCAUCUUUAUCUUGAGGUAAGCAUAGUGGGGAACUGCCAUGAACCUGGCCAAGGCAGGUCGGCCAAGCAAUGCAUGGUAGGGGCUCUCCAGGUCCACCACUUCAAACCAGAUCGCUUCUCGGCGGAAAUGAUCCUUGUCCCCAAAGAAUACAUCAAUCUUGAUCUUGCCAAUGGAGGCGCAGUACAGGCCAGGUACAAUGCCAUGGAACACAGUCCGAGUAGGCAUGAGUUGCUUCGUCUUGACGUUCAGCUUCUCCAGGGUGUCACGGUACAUGAUGUUGAUGUUGCUCCCGCCGUCUAUCAGCACACGGGAGAAACGGGCGGCACGUCUAUCCAUUGCAAGGGUGGCAUCCAAAACCAACGCAUAAGAGCCGGGAGAUGGCAUCACCUCUGGGUGGUCGGCCCGGCUCCAGCUGAUAGGUUUUUCUGACCAGUGCAUGUGCUCGGCGGGGGUGGCAGCGACCAUGCUGACUUCCUGGUGCUCUCGGUGUUUGCUGCGCCGGUCUUCGGGCUGGCUUGUAAAGAUGACAUAGGUGGCAUGCUCGUCGGGAACUCAUCGUGCACGGCUCCGACUGCAGGCCGAGCGGUCGGCGGCUGCGGAGCCGGAGGCGGCGGACCGGAGGCGGAGGCGGCGCAAGCCCUUCGCCUUUGGAGAUUCGGGUGAGCCAGUGGCACUUCCGGGUUGUGUGGUUGGACGGCUUCGCGCCGCUGUGGAACUUGCAUGGGGCGUCGAGAGUUUGCUCGUAGGAGAAGGCCGGCUGCCAAGCUGGCUUGCCGCCCCUCUGCUUCUUGGGUGCGGGCCGCCCUUCGGGCUGCUCGUCUUCGCUGUGGCCACCUGCCGACUGGUGGAGGGCGGCACGGGGCCCUUGCGCUUGUGGUCGUUCUGGUGUGGGCGUCGGCCGGAGUCCCCCGUCGGCGUCUUGGGCACCGGGUUAAGUACUUUCCCGGACGCGUCUACCCGGAGUUCGGUCUUCAUUGAGGAGUCGGCGGUGGCGUACUUGUCCGCUAUGACCAGAAGCUCGUCGAGGGUAGUCGGCUCGUUGCAGAGGAGCUUGUGCUUGAGGAGGGUACCUUCUCGGCACCCGACAGUGAAGUAUUCUAUGGCUUGCACCUCGAGCACCCCCUCGCAGGAGUUGCGGAGCUCGGCCCAACGCAUGAGGUAGUCACGAGUGGACUCGGCAGGGCCUUGUACACACAAGGAGAGCUGUCUGGGCUUGGGAACCCGCUUGUAGGUGCUGGUGAAGUUGCGGACGAAGGCUUCUGUGAAGUCUAGCCAGCUGUUGAUGUUGUAUGGCUUGAGGCUGUUGAGCCAGGUCCGCGUCGUGCCUUGCAGCAUGAGGGGCACGCACUUCACGGCAACGCGCCUGUUGCCGUUUGCUACACUAACCACCGUGGAGUAGUCAAUCAACCAAUCUUCCGGCUUCACGGAGCCGUUGUACUUGGGCGUGUCUCUUGGGAGCGAGAACCCUUUGGGAAAGGCUCGUCGCGGAUGCGGGGGCCGAAGCAAGGUGGGCCGACAUCAUCUUCUUCUUCCAGCGCCAAGGAUCGCGCUAGGCGGUCGAUCCGAUGGCGGGCGUCAUUCUCGCCGACUCCUUCGCGACGACCUAGUCGGCCGCUGAGAGUCGGAUGCACAACAGGCGGUGGGGUGGGAUGUCUCUCCCCAUAGGGCCGAGGCGGAGGCGGGUCGCCCCGCCGCUCCAUGGCCCGGGGAUGGCCUUCUGCGUCUCGCUCGAUGGAGAUUCGGGUUUGGCUUCGGCUGGCAGCCGACUCUUUCUCGUGCCGCGCGCGGGUUUUACCCGUAGUCAGCGUCUGAGACGUCACGCUGUGAUCUCGGCGCGGGGGAGGGCUUUCCGCGCGGGCGUCGGCUUCGUGCCGCUGCGCGGCCGCAUCGAUUAGCUGCUGGAUGCGUCUGGUCAUGUGGGAGAGUUCUUCGGCCCCCAAUCCGUCUAGCUCGUCUACGGCCGCCUGGGCGGCGUGCAGGUUCUUGAGUGGAGUGGCGUAGACUGGGCGGUCGACUCCUAGCGUGUCGGCGAUGACAGCGCCGCGCUGUCUGACAACGCCGGCCCGGCUUGGCCCGCCUGGGGGCGGCGUGCCAAAGGCGGCACGGUCGGCUUCGCGCUGGUGGGCCUCAGUGAGGCAUCUCAUGGAAGCCAGCUUCCGGCCCUCCGCGAGGAGGGCGAGGCGGCGAGCCUCCAGUGCUUCAGCAUCGGCAUCGGCCGGGAGGGGGAUGGACAAGUCGUGGACCGCCGCGUGCGGGGCGUCAUGGGCGCUCUCGUCAGAAGCGCCGCCGCGGCCAAUGACCAUCACCUCGGUGGUGACAGCGUCGCAGCCAUCGGCCCGGGGAAGCGAGUCGUUGUAGAUCGUGACAUCGGUGGGGAAAGUGUCGAGUGAGGCCGUGUCGGAGUCGACAAGCAUCGGAUCGGUGGAGCCAACAGACUCCAUGUCCAUAGCAGGCUCGCCGGAGACGUGGAGCUGGCCGAGGAGGUUGACGAGGUGGUCGGUGCCCGCGUCAGAGGCGAGCUCGUCGGAGAUGAGGGUCUUGUCAAGGAGAUCGGCGAGGCCGCUCGCUGCGCAGACGUUGGUGACGCCUUGCAGCGCGUCGUGGCAAGCGCCAUCGGGCGUGCCAGGCUGGCUACGCUCGCUGGGGAGGAAGAGGAUUCCCGUCCAGAACAGGUCUCCGGACGACGGUGCACCUAGCCCCACGGUGGGCGCCAAAUGUCGGGUGGUAGGUGCGACAUAUGCCAACGGGUGGCUUAUCAUUGUGGGAGCCAGUAAGACGUCGCCGGUGCCUGGAAGCGGGAUGAGGCGAAGACAUGCACGCCGGCGAAUCUUACCCAGCUUCGGGGCUCUUCGUGGAGAUAACACCCCUACUACUGCUCUGCGGGGUCUCCGCAUGAUCACUAGAGGAACAAGUAGCUACACGAUGCUCCUUGAGCUGUCUGGCGAGAGGAGGAAGAAGGGCUCGGCUCGCUCUCUUCUCCUCCCUAUAUGGUGUCUAAAACUAGCAUGGAUCCCCCUUGCAUGGGUGUCCCGGGGGGUUUAUAUAGGCCUACCCCCGGGGGUACAAUGGUAAUCCGACUGGGCGUGGGGCCCAGCCGUCUGUGUCUUUACUCGCCGGCUUCUACGCCGGCUGCUGGGGCCCGCCGGCUGGUGGGUCCCACCGGCUGCCGGCUCCUGGGUCGACAGGCAGGCCCCACUGUCCAGGGCCUUGUCGGUGGCUGGUUACUGUCGCUCAAUCCUGGUGACGAGGGCUUCGCCGAGGUGGGCGUGGCUACAGUGCCGCCGUCCGGCGGGUGAUCGCUGUAGCCUCACCGCGUCUUGUCUCCUUAAUGGGACGUCUCCUUCGAGGAAGGUGGCAAGCCGGCUGUGGAGAGCCGGCUCUGUCUUGGACCGACUGGGGGGGCUUGGCCGCCUUCGGGUGUCUCUCUGCCCGAAGGGGCCCACCGCUCGUGGGCCGCCCUGGCAGCCUGUCAUGGAUGACAUCAGGGUCAACGUGGCAACAGUGCCGCGCCGGACGGGUCAUGGCCACCCGUACGGCGCACUGUGCCAGGCGUGCUCCGGGAUUCUGGGGUGGCAGGCUUUACUGUAGCCACGCCCCAUCACAUCGCCGUUAUGUGGAUGCAGACUUCGAGGGUACGAUCUUGACCGCUUUGUGGGAGCCGGCUUCUUGGAGUCGGCCUUCUCGCGGCUGGCUUCUCGGAGCCGGCCCUCCCGCGGCUUUCUUCAUGAGGGCUGAAGUCGGGCCGCCUUUCGAUAGUCGGCCUAGGAGACAGCCGGCAAUGGGAAGGCGGCCCCAUGUCUUGGAUUCUUGAGGGCCGGAUCGACUCAUAAUUUUUCAGAAGGGCCAGGGGGAGCCGGCUAGGCUACCCGUGGUCAUUUACUCCGACAAGGGGGAGAGGGGGCGCGCGGCCUGCCCUGGCCGCCCCUCCUCUUCUCCACUUUAGGCCCAUGAGGCCCAUUAACCCCCCGGGGGGUUCCGGUAACCCCCCGGUACUCCGGUUUUAUCCGAAACUUCCCCGGAACACUUUCGGUGUCGGAAUAUAGCCGUCCAAUAUAUCAAUUUUUAUGUCUCGACCUUUUCGAGACUCCUCGUUAUGUCCGUGAUCACAUCCGGAACUUCGAACUAACUUCGGUACAUCAAAACUAAUAAACUCAUAAUAUAACUGUCAUCGAAACCUUAAGCGUGCGGACCCUACGGGUUCGAGAACAAUGUAGACAUGACCGAGACACGUCUCCGGUCAAUAACCAAUAGCGGAACCUGGAUGCUCAUAUUGGCUCCCACAUAUUCUACGAAGAUCUUUUAUCGGUCAGACCGCAUAACAACAUACGUUGUUCCCUUUGUCAUCGGUAUGUUACUUGCCCGAGAUUCGAUCGUCGGUAUCUCAGUACCUAGUUCAAUCUCAUUGCCGGCAAGUCUCUUUACUCGUUCUGUAAUACAUCAUCUCGCAACUAACUCAUUAGUUGCAUUGCUUGCAAGGCUUAGGUGGUGUGCAUUACCGAGAGGGCCCAGAGAUACCUCUCCGACAAUCGGAGUGACAAAUCCUAAUCUCGAAAUACACCAACCCAACAUGUACCUUUGGAGACACAUGUAGAGCACCUUUAUAAUCACCCAGUUACGUUGUGACGUUUGGUAGCACACAAAGUGUUCCUCCGGCAAUUGGGAGUUGCAUAAUCUCAUAGUCAUAGGAACAUGUAUAAGUUAUGAAGAAAGCAAUAGCAACAUACUAAACGAUCGGGUGCUAAGCUAAUGGAAUGGGUCAUGUCAAUCACAUCAUUCUCCUAAUAAUGUGAUCCCGUUAAUCAAAUGACAACACAUGUCUAUGGUUAGGAAACAUAACCAUCUUUGAUUAAUGAGCUAGUCAAGUAGAGGCAUACUAGUGACGUUUAGUUUGUCUAUGUAUUCACACAAGUAUUAUGUUUCCGGAUAAUACAAUUCUAGCAUGAAUAAUAAACAUUUAUCAUGAUAUAAGGAAAUAAAAUAAUAACAUUAUUAUUGCCUCUAGGGCAUAUUUCCUUCAGAACCAAGAAACAUGAUGCAAGGAUGCAAUGGUUUGAGCUCUCUACUAACGAUACGAUCAAGCCACCAACUUGAGAGCCCCCCUUGAUAGUACGGCAAACGACCCUAUAACCCGGUCUCCCAACUACCACCACGAGACCGGUAAAAUAGAAAGCCUAUCAAGGGCAAACCUUUGCCUUGCACAUGGUCCACUUGAGCUAGAUGAUGACGAUCUUGACUCCCUCAAGUUGGACCACCUUUCUUGAUUGCGUUGGCUCGAUGAAGACUAGAUGAUUGCUCCCCCAUACUCCACUAUGGAUGAGCCACUCUUCGGCACAUCUUCACAAGUCCAUUGUCACCAUAAUGGACGACAAGCUUCAAGCAUUUGAUCUCUUCGUGAUGCUUCACUUGAAUUUGCACACCGUAACCUAACCCCACAAAGAACUCUCACGAAGACCAUGGGUUAGUACGCAAAGCGUAAUGAACAAUGCUUACCAUACCAUGGGAUCACUUGAUCCCUCUGUACAUCUUGUACGCUUUGUGUGUUGAUCAACUUGAUUCACUCUUGACUUAGUCUUGAUCAACCUUGAUUCUUUCCAACUCUCUUCAUUUGGAUGAUGUCUUGAAGGUAAACAUGAAUGAUCAAACAAUCUUCUUCUUCAAGACAUGCUUGCAAUAAGCUCAACUCUCAAAUGACCAAUCUUUGGAUAAUUCCUUGAAUAGCACCUUGGUCGACACAAACUCUCAUUGAAACCAACACAUGUACUCCAAGAAAAGCCUAUGGACAAAACCUUCAAAUAUAACUCAAGGCAACCAUUAGUCCAUAGAGAUUGUCAUCAAUUAUCAAAACCAAACAUGGGGACACCGCAUGUUCUUUCACCAGUUUUCUCAACAGCCCGACAAGCUGUGUUGGAAACUAACUAAGAAUGGAGAGGUUUUGGUUAAAUCCAUGUACUUGGAUGUUAUCAACUCUAGCGUGAUUCCUCGAUCGAAACAUGUUUGGAAAGUCAAAGUUCCUUUGAAAAUCAAAGUGUUUAUGUGGUUUGUACAUAAACAAGUUAUCUUAACCAAGGACAAUUUGGCAAAACGCAAUUGGACAGGUUCUACGAGAUGUAGCUUUUGUGACCAAUAUGAAUCAAUCAAACACCUCUUUCUUGAUUGCCCUCUGGCAAAAAUUAUGUGGCGGACGGUUCACAUAGCAUUUAACAUUACUCCUCUGAAUUCCAUCACCAUGUUAUUUGGGGCGUGACUUGAUGGGAUAAAUUUUGUCAUUGAGAGACACAUUCUUGUAGGAGUUUGUGCUUUGUUAUGGGCAAUCUGGAAUUGCAGAAAUGAUUUGGUCUUUAACAGAAUAACAAAUAUUCAUUUUUGCAGGUUAUCUUCAGAGCCACUGCGUUGAUCCGUAUGUGGUCGCUACUCACUCCGACGGAGGCCAGGGAGCGUUUGGUUACUGGAUCUACCCGAUGGGAGAUGGUAGCACAAGAUAUUUUCAACCGGUUUGGAUGACGGUCAUGUAAUAGGAUAAUCAUUUAGUGUUCCAAUCCUUUUAUGCCAGCCGGUUGUGGCUUUUCUACUUUUGUUUUGCUCUUCGCGAGCCUUCUUUUCAUUUUUGUUCGAGACCUGAAGACUUGUCUUGGACCUUUUGUUUAUUAAUAAUUAUGGCCGUAUGCAUCGUUCUGAUGCAGAGGCUGGGGCAACCCCCAUUUUAGAAAAAAUCAACUUACUAUUCAUAAGUUAUCCGUAAAACAAAGUAAUAUUUUCAAGCCAAAGGAGGUUCGCAUUAUCUGAUACAACAAUGAAUUACACAAACAUAUUGGUUGGAUUAUUGGCGUGCUAACACUCUUCUAUGACCGGAAGAGACAAAAUAAUGUACAUUGGUGAUACUAAAACGUAGAUAAAAAUAUAAAUGUUUUCACAAAAUAAUAUACUACUCCAUCCUUCCCAAUAUGAAGCAUGCUUGAAUAUCCGUUCUCUAAUGUACAACCUUUACUUAUACUAUGGCUAACCUAGUAAAAGGUAAAUGAACACAAGAGUAUUUUGAUACAAUGAAAUUCUUGUAUGACCAAUCCAUAUACUCUCAUGCAUAUGAGAUGUCAAAGUUUUAAAAUGAUGAUCACACACAUAAUAAUGUGCCUUAUAUUUUAGGAAGGGACCGAGUGUGCCAUACUAAUUAAGCAAUUCCACAAUCACCUCUCCAGCAGACGAAGCCGACAGAGAGAAGAGGAGGCGACGGAAAGGGCAAGGAACACAUGAGCAUGAGAAAGAGAGAGAGAGAGAGAAUAAGAAGCAUUGAAGUUGUUAUCGGUUCUAAAUGCAAUGUUUAAUCAUGUGAAAAAGAGAACAAAUCAAGUUGUUCCAGAGAUUGCUCAAGUAAUGAAGUAUUCAUAUGAUGGCAUUUUCCUUAGAGACACUAUGCUUUACAGAAAUGGAGCGCUACGAGAGCUCAUGGCAACGUCCACGUGGUGGGACCCACCCAGGGUGUGGGCUGUAGGACGACCCCCCAAACGAUGGUCUCAUGUGCUCAAAGUCCGGGUGCGGCUUGUCGGUUUGUUGUGUGUUUGUUGUCUUCGAGAUGCACCGCUCUGAUACAAGGCACCCGUACUGCCCCAGAUCCAGCUCUUCCACAUCGCACCCCCGCACACGCAAGAAGGCACCCACGCCGCCAUAGGGCCACCACUGCUCCACCCAUCCCCUUUCUCUCCCGACGUCUCUCGCGGCGAGGCAAUGGAACAAUGUGUUGGGCCUGAAAGAGCAGGCAGUGCGAGACGCCGCCAAGGCCCUCAACGUGCAUCGCGUCGCGGCGACGCUGGUUGUCCCCAAAUCCGUCACGGUUCGACUACAAUCCACCUCUCCCCCUCUCCCUCGGGCUAUUUUCAAAAGGUAGAUCUGAACUCCAAGCAAAAUCAUGAGCUUUCCUCGAAAUUGUUUUUGUUGGUCAUACAUGGUAUGGAUUUGUGGCGAGUUUAUGGAAUUUCUAGAUGUUGCCAAAUGAGUUAAUCUUCUAUGUCCUCGGGAAGAAGUCGUAGAAUUCAUCGGUAUUUUAUCUUUUGGUAUAAUUUUCAAUCUAAAAAGUGUGCGUGCUUGAUUGCUCGAGUACCAUUAAUUUGCUAUGUCCCAUGGUGCUUGUGGAUUUACAAUUCAUUUAAAGUUAGAGGAUUACUCCAUAUGCUAACCAAACAAAAUUUUCGAUGUCUCGGUGACUGUUCACACCUUGGUCAAUCAGAUUGUUCGCUUAUGGAGCUUUCUUAUUGUUUAGUAAUAUAAAAUUAUACAUCUUUACCAAAAUAACACACCUCGUCCUGUUCAUACUUAAUCAAUGCUAUAACCCACAUUGUGCUUUUUCAUGCGUUCUACUAUCUCCCAAGGACAAAUGGCACAAAUCCAUGAAAAUAGUCUCUUUCAGGUGGACCCAUUCUAUUUCAGACUUCCUGAUUCUUUCCUGCUUCAAUCUUGUAUAAUGUAGUUGCAAUUUUUCCAUCUGAGAAUACCUAACCAAAUACUCAAAAUAUUCAGAACAAACAACUGGGACAACAAUAACGUGUCCUCAACCUAGGUAUAAAAAAUAAUCACAGAGAGGACAAGAAGGCGAAAAAAUAAUUUCAGCAUGUCAUCCUAUAGAAGGCCUAAUCAAACACCGAGAAUACUUUCAAAACAACAACUACAAGAAGAGCAGUGUCUCCUCAACCUAGUCUUCUCCUAGCCUCCUAGGUAGAAAAAUAACCACACAGAGGACAAGAAGAGGGGAAAUAAAAAUAAAUAAGUUCAGCACGGCGAGCGAAAGAGACCCCCGCAGAAGCCAACGCGACGCCAAAUCCAUUCCUCUUCCCUCUCCACAGGCUGAGACGAAGCCAACCGAAGCGAGCACGAACACCCUAGGCGCGCGCGCUCAGAGCCGUGGCGGAGUCGUCGGGCUCGCCGUAGGCAGCGGAUGGCGACGCCCACGCCCAUGGCAGGCGAGGGGACGCUCGCCGGGGUGAUGCCGCUGUUGCCGCCCCCGCCACCGGCGGCGGAGGCGGCCGCGGGGUCGGCGGCCGAGGCGCCGAUGCUGAUAUUCCUCUACUUCCACAAGGCGAUCCGCGCCGAGCUCGAGGGCCUGCACGGCGCCGCCGUGCGCCUCGCCACGGAGCGCGCCGGCGACGUGGGGGCACUGGCCGAGCGCUGCCGCUUCUUCGUCAACAUCUACAAGCACCACUGCGACGCCGAGGACGCGGUACGGCCGCUGCCCCUCUGCAGAGCUCCGUUUUGUUUGAGGCAUUUCGUUUUCCUCCGUUUUACCCCCCUGUAGCUGGUGUGAAUUUGGGUAUGGGCUAUGGAGAUGCGUGGGCGCGUACGAAUAUUGGUGCUGUUUUGGGUUUAGGGUUGGGGAAUUGUUCCCUUCGGUCUGAAGGAGCUGGGCGGGGUUGGGAUUGAAUCGUUCGACCACUGUUAGGAUCUGAAUCCGGUGGACUCCAUACCAUGAUGUUGAAUCUUCUUCGGGUAGCUUUUGAUGCAGCAGUGGACAGUAUAAGGUUGUUUGGCUGAAUCAGCCUAUGCUCACAUGAAUAAUUUGUCGCACUUUUUGCCCUUCUGGCUUCUGAUGUUGACAUAAGGAGAUGAUGCCCAAAUUGUAUAAGCCAUGAUACAAAAGCCUCCGUUCAAUUGAAACCACAAUGGUAAUUUUGAUAUUGACAUCAUCAUGUGAGGCCUUCUCUUUCUUGCUUCCAUGGUGAUGUUUUCUCACUUUCAUUAGAGCACAACGGAACUUUUACUGAUCGAGUCGGAUAGAGCUUUCUUAGUUUCAACCUGUUAGAGUCAGGGGCUAAUGGAGGUCAGGUCCUUCCUAGACUUUUUUUGCUUAAAUCUUGUUACCCUGCAGAAUGAUAAUAGAUCAUCAGUAUUCUUUAGUGGCAGAGAGUCUAACUGACAAGUAAAUGCACCUUGAUGUCCUAUUUUCCCUCGAAUGCCGCAAAAAUAGAAGUUCUGUUUUGAAGCACAAAAAUGUUAGUGCUGUUGUAAACUUCUUUUACCUUGACCAUUUUCUUCAUGGGAAGAGCUGUCAUAGUUGCUUGUUCAAAUCUGUUUUGGCAAUCUAUCUUUCUAAUGCUUUAUUGUUUAUGCUUUGCUUUUUAGAAAUAUUGUGCAGUUUAGUUAUGAGUUCAUCAUAUCAUAUUUUUUGUACUAAAAACAUGCUCAUACUUUUUGGUUUGACAAUUGCAGGUUAUCUUUCCAGCACUUGAUAUACGAGUCAAGAAUGUCGCUGGAACGUAUUCUCUAGAGCAUAAAGGCGAAAAUGACCUCUUUACCCAGCUUCUUGCUUUAUUACAACUCGAUAUUCAAAAUGACGAUGCUCUUCGGAGGGAACUUGCAUCCUGCACAGGAGCCAUACAAACGUGCCUCACCCAGCAUAUGUCCAAGGAAGAAGAACAGGUCAGUGCCAUAUUUCCUUUUUAAACGGCCUCUUAUCAUAUUAAGCAGUUCAUAUCCAACUAGAUAAGGAAAACAGUAUGCUGCUCAGUAUCUUAUGUUUGAACCAAUUUUGUUCUAGGGCAAGUGCAUUCUAUGACAGUGUCACCAUUCAAAAGUUGUUCUUAAUGCCUGUUUGUGCUCUUAUUAGGCAUUUUAUGAAGGUGCUCAUUUGUUGUAAUCGUGUCGAGAAGUCCUUAGCAAAAUCAUCUUAUUACUAGGCUGUCCAACUUUCUUGCCCCUUUUUACAACAUUUGAAUGCUCACGAUCUCCUUUAUGACGGUGCUAACGGUUAUAGGAUGGCAAAUCAAGCUGGCAAGCUUUUACUUUUAAGUAUUUUGAGUGAUUCUAUGAUAUACUUUCCUGUUAUUACCUUGAUGUCAGUAAGGAUAGGUGCAAACAGAGAAGUGAUGGUAGUGGGACAUAUGUGGUCUUCUAGUUGCUACUCUACCGUCAUUGUUUUCUCAAGUUAUCACCAAGGGUUCGUAUGCCAGUUUCUGUAUUCUGAUUAAAGGGUCACACAGCUCUCGGUGUCAUGCAGGCAUCUUGGACUGUAUUACUCUUAUUCUGCAUUUUUGAAAUCCCGGACUUCAUGUUCUGAUCAGAAGUGUUUACCUUAUAUGUGGAUCCCAUUUAAAUAAGCUACAUCAACCUGUGCACCUACACGGGCUGCAUAUAAACAAUACUUUAUACAUCUUAACGUAAAGGCGAUUCUCUAAGGAUAUUUGAUGCAUUUUUCUAUCUGAUUACACUUUUACACAUAUCCCUUUGCCAUGCUCUGAUUGCCUUUUUUCUACUACAACUCUUAAUUCGUCAAGUGAAUAUUCCUCAUCUUGUGAUAUGAAAUCCGGCUGUUGUAAAUUAAUGGCAAGCCUCUGACUAGUAAAUCUUUCAUACUCCCCCCUCCCACAAUUUAAGACGGUUUUUGCAAGCUAACAUAGCUUGCAAAAACGUCUUAUAUUAUGAGAGGAGGGAGUAAUACAUAAUGAUUUUGAUUUUAUUAUAUUACUUCCUGAAAUAAAUGGCAGUUGUAAAUUCAAUUACAUUUUAAAUUUGAUCCUACCGUUAUGAUUGGCAUCAAUUACUCAUUUUGUCUUUCAUGAUCACAUGUAUGCUUUAAUGUUUGAUAUUUUUGGAAUUAUUCUUAAUUAGGAGCCCUUGUUCUUUUCGUGAUGAAACUAGGAGUAUCUUGUAUAUACAUCUAUCUCUAAAUUGGGAUUUUCACUUUAUUUUGAAUUUUGAUCUGCACUGUAGGGUACAUAUAUACAAUUAUUUACCCAUCUCUCUCUUCUGUCUCAGUUUUUUAGGUGCAUAUACAUCUAACUUUAAAGCCAAAAUCCAUGUGUGUCCCACAGCACAAACAUAUGCUUUUUCCCCCUGAUAUUUCCAAAAAUGUCAUAUGAAACCUAGUGCAAAGUGUAAUAUUAUUAUGCAGGGGCCUGCUGCAAGGUGACACAAGUGGCAAUCUACCUGGUGUGAAGUGCAAUUUACUCUAAUUCUGAUGAUGUUGGGCAAUGUGUGGUGGCUUGAAGGGAGCCUCCAUUUAGUAAAUAUAAAAUUGUGUGUCUGUUCUUGUAUCCCUUGCUGUUGCACUCUAAAGAGGCUGCCCAACAUCGAUCAGAAGCUUUGACUAAUUGUUUGUUUGAGUAAUAUAAUCCAGAUAAACAAGUGGGACAGCUGGGUUGCAAUAUUAACUUGCAUGAACUAGAUCUUUGGGAGUUCAGAAAAUGUGGCAAUUUUUUUCUUUGGAUUAUGCUCUUUGCAUGGUCAUGUAUCUUUUGUGGUGUCUGCAUCCUAAAAUCAUAUCUAGAUGAUGUGAUUACUCAAGAUAUUUGGUGUUGGUGACUGAUCGUAUUUCAUACCUAUUGGUGGCUGAUCAUCUGAUUUUCUAGGUCUUCCCAUUGCUUACCAAGAAAUUUUCAUACGAAGAGCAGUCAGAUUUAGUAUGGCAGUUCUUAUGCAACAUUCCUGUAAAUAUGCUGGCAGAGUUCCUUCCGUGGCUCUCAGCUUCUGUUUCAUCUGACGAGCAUCAGGAUAUUCGUAACUGUUUAUGUAAAAUAGUUCCUGAAGAGAAACUUCUUAAACAGGUCUCACAAUUGCGCCUCUUUACUGUUUCUGGCAAUAACUUGCUUGUUGUCCUGUUAAAUUUGAGUUUUAAAAUUUGUGAAGGUUGUAUUCACUUGGAUCGAAGGGAAAGCAACAAGAGAAGUGGCACAGAGUGUUGUCAGUGAUAAUUUGGAAAGAAGUCAUUGUUGCAAGGAUGCUUCCUUUGUUAAUCAAGCGGAGAAACUUAUUUAUCCACUUGAACAGUCUAAAGUUGGGCAUAUAAAGUAUACAGAAUCUAAUGAUUGUCAGGCUGACAGGCACCCCAUAGAUGAGAUUUUAUAUUGGCAUAAUGCUAUCCGUAAAGAAUUAAAUGAUAUAGCAGAGGAGACAAGAAGGAUGCAGCAGUCUGGAGAUUUUGCUGAUAUAUCAGCCUUCAAUGCGAGACUUCAGUUUAUUGCAGAUGUGUGCAUCUUCCACAGGUAUUUAGUUUUAAUCUUCAAUUAUUCACACUUUAAUUUAAGAUUUUAUUGUGCAACUAUGUAUAUACACUCCUUUUUAAUGCUGCUUUUCUAUGUAAGUUGACAUUGAGUAUACCAUUUGUUUGUUAUUAAUAAUAUAAUUGGCACUCCCAUUCAUCAUUUGUAGUGUUACACUGUUUGCCUUGCUUAACAUACCCUGCCUGCUGCUUGGGUAGUUAUGUGGCUUAUGCACUAUUUUUGACAUCGUGGUGCACUGGUGGCUUUUGCACUUUUGCUACACACGAGUUUGAUUUUUUUUAUCCUAGUAUGGUACAGGUGAUUACAUACACUUGAGCAAGCAGUAUCACAAACGUGCUAAUUCUCCUAAAUUUAGGAACUGUUUAACUGAGAAUAGUUCUGCACAUAUGUAUUAUUGUUUUGUUGUACAUAAAGGUAUAUUUUUCUGUGCAUGUAUUGGUGUCAUGCUAGUCACACCUUGUUGUGUGCUAGAACUUGUUUUCUCCUGGUUCGUUUUUGACACUUUUCACCGGUAAAACAGAACGUUCUGAAAGUAGACUAUGUACCUUCUUUAAUUUCACCUGUUUCAUUUUUUAUUAUUAUCUACAGUAUCGCCGAGGAUCAGGUUGUAUUUCCUGCAGUCAAUAGCGAGCUGUCCUUCGUGCUGGAGCAUGCUGAAGAAGAGCGUCGAUUUAACAAUUUUAGAUGCUUAAUUCAGCAAAUCCAAAUGGCAGGAGCAAAAUCAACUGCAGCAGAGUUUUACUCUGAAUUGUGUUCACAUGCUGAUCAGAUAAUGGAGGCAAUUGAGAAACACUUCUGUAACGAAGAAACCAAGGUUAGUACUUCGUAGUGAUGUUUCUGUGUCACUGGAAUUAUUGCUUUGUCUGUCAGAAUGUCAUCUUUGGUUUAAUUUACCUAGGUGCUUCCCCAAGCUAGGGUUCUUUUCUCUCCUGAGAAGCAAAGGGAACUUCUAUAUAGAAGUCUUUGUGUCAUGCCAUUGAAGCUAUUGGAACGUGUUCUACCAUGGUUGGUGUCAAAACUGAGCGAUGAGGAGGCAUCUUCUUUUCUUCAGAAUAUGCGCUUGGCAGGUCAUCUCUUUACUCUGAUUAUUUUAAGUUAUUUUCUUUAUACAUUAUACUUAGCUUUGAAGUUUUCAUUGGGAAUUCAAUGUUUGCUGAAAGAUUCAUGUGAAACAGCACCAUCAUCUGACACCGCAUUGGUCACUCUUUUCUCUGGUUGGGCAUGCAAGGCUCGCUCAGAGGAUAAAUCCAAUUCUGGAGAAUAUAUAUGCUUAACAUCAGGGGCAGCAAGAUGCCUGUUGGAUGAUGUAGAAGAGCUGAAAAAGUGUCAAUCAUUCUGCCCAUGUGCUUCACGUAUCAGUGCAGAUGUUGCUCUUCAUCUGGAAAAUGAAAAUGGUUCUAGGCCAGGCAAGCGAGGAAAUGAUGCAGAAUCUGUUCCUGGUACUAAUGGAAGUCACUGCUCUCAAAUUACUGACACUGUAGCAAGUCCAUGUAGCAAAAAACCUUGUUGUAUUCCUGGGUUGAGAGUAGACACGAGCAAUCUUGGCAUCGGUUCACUGGCUUCUGCAAAGUCCUUCCUCUCCCUGUCAUACAAUUCUUCUGCGCCCUCAUUAUAUUCAAGCCUUUUUUCAUAGGGUGCGGAGGCGGAGGAGAUGCUGACGAAGGCAACGAGGCGAAGGGAAAGGAGGAUGCGCUCGCAUCCAGUAGGCUGCUCGAUCCGGAAUUCAAGCCCUCCAAGCUGUCCCAAGAUCAGCUCGACAAGUUUAAGGUUUUCUUCUCUUACUUACAGUAGAUUUCUCGAAUGUUCAGUGCGAAUCUUGUGGGGUUCAUGAUCCCCCGCAGGUGGAUGGUUCUUUCUAACCGUUAUAGGAAGCAUAUUAGUACUGUACUUUGGAAGGGCAGACUAGGGCAGGGCAAAAUUGGUCCCUCCCUCCCUCCCUGCUCCUCAAUUACUGGAGGAAAAUGUUCAAGCUGUAGGCUUUAAUGUCAAUGUCAUAGUCAUACAGAAUGGCUGUAGCACCUUUGUCUAAGGGUGACAUGUUGUGUUUUCUUCUUAUGAUGCCCUCAUCGUUGCCAUGAACCAAUUUAUCCAGAUCUUUUUAUAGAAAAUUGUUAGGAAUAGUUUCAUUUGUUUCCAGCAUAUAAAACUGGUCUUAUGAAGCGUAGAAACAUUGCUGCAUAGACAUAUCUUCAGCUUCUGAAUUCUAAUAGUUGAAGUGCUCGCCUUUUUGACCACAUGACCGGACACGGAAGUGUUCCCAUAGAGGAACAGAGCAGGCAUCCAAAAUCCAGUUGUUUUCCAGAGAUUUUUAGCUGAGUCAUUGACCGCUCGGCAUCAAAAUUUGAAGACAAUAAAUCUCCCAGAUAUUGUUAAGAGUGCAGUUUUUGUGUUUAGCACUUGUUGCAGUUAAAGAAAAAAAACUUGCAAAAUUCAAGGUCAAAGCAUAGAGGACACAAUAUUAGCUUUAGUUAGGAAUCCUGCAUACUGUACUUGCACUGUUGCACAUUGAUGAGUGUAACAAAUGAGAAAACACGGCAAACAAAGAGAGAGAAAUAUAAUACUAUUAGCACUUCUGUGAAAUGCCUAUUUGAAACCUAUUGUUGCUAGAGUUUGGAUUGGAUUAUAGAAAAGAUAUUGUGCUAAACUGGAUGUGAUGUUUUUGUUUGGGUCAUUUUUUUGUCUUGUGCCAUACAUAUUACAUAGAUUGUUAAUGAGAUGCUGGUCUCGACAAUUUCAUUUGAGAAGUUCCAGUUGAAAAGCAUAAUUUCCCAUCCUUAAGAAUCUCAACCCUGAAUUAAACGGCAAAUUUCCAAACGUUUGUUCAGAGUGCUUCUAUCCUUUUUUCUGAAGUUACCAACUCUUUAGUUUUGUUUUUAUUUCGAGAAAUACCAACUAAAUUGUUUGAUCUUUCAUGUUACAGGAAUUGCACAAGAAACGGCUACAAAUAAAGGAAAAAACAAAAUCCAAAGGAAAACCUAAAGGUAUCUCUCUUUAUGUAUCUGUGAUUACCUUGUGUUCAGUUUCUUUUCUUUUCUUUUUUGCAGGAGAUAUUUAAGCUAUUUGUUCAUUGUAUUUGAAAUUUGUAGGAAGAACUGGGGAGAAUACAAAUGUAGCCAAUGAUUCUAAAUUUAAUAAUAAGGAUAAAUCAAUUGAUAGUGCCGCAAUAGAUGUACAGCAUACAACAUCAACUACAGGAGCCCAAGCGGUAUGUCUGGUUAUACUUAUGAAAAUGCUUGGUUAUCUUAUUUUCAUCUAAAUUCGUGAAGAUUGUUGCUUUUGCUUGGGCCUUUAAUAGUAGCACAGCAAAUUAGUUGCAGGAAAAGGGUUAUCUGUAGAAAUAAAGCUAUUUACUGCAGAAUUUUUAUUUCUCAAGUCCCGGUAACGUAUUUCAAUUGGUCUUUAGGUCUUGAAAUUUUCUCAGGUAAUGGAACAAACUGCGAUACCUCGAUUUCUGCAGUUGUUGCAGCAAAAUAUAUGUUGUUUUCUUAUUUUUGUUAAUACUCCCUUCGUUCCAAAAUAAGGGUUCUGGUUUUAGUUCAGAGUAGGUGUCAUGGGCUGAUGAAGAAAGUGUUCUUGCCACGAAAUGAACUAAAAUUUAAAGAUUUAGAUUCUUAUUGGUUUUAUCUAGAAGUGCCUGUUUGGUGUUGGCAUCUGUCUAUUUCUUACAUAGUGUUUACCAAAUAGGUUAAAAAUGCAAUAUAAUUGCAAUUAUAAUACCUUUUGUGUCUUUGUCUGUUAAAUGUACAUUGACUCGAUAGGAUCAAAAGUUGAUGUGUCCCUUUGUCUACGUUGAUACCAGACUGAGUUAACUUUGUUGCUGUUCGGUUGUAAUACAAGAUACAUUUACAUCUUUAAGACAUUUAUUAGACUUCAUAUAUUCAAGAUCAUUGAUUUGAUGCCAUAUCAUCGUUUCUUCAAGGCCAUUAAUUAAUUAACGGAAUUCACAAAUAUCAUUGUCAUAAAAAUAGCUUGAUGAUUUAUUCCCACAUAUUUGCAGAAUCUUGCACCGUCCCUGCCCUUGAGGAACAAAAGGAAGUUGCAUUGGGGGUACUAUUUCAUCACUGUACUGUAUCAUACUACGUGGCAGCUUAUGUUUUCCACUAUCUCAUGCAGUCUCAUCUCUCAUGCUACUCUCUACUUAGUUGCUAUUCAGGCAGUUCAUGUUCAUCUUUUCAUCGGAAAACUUCAUUAACACUGAAUUCCCUUAAAUUUCACCUUUCAUCAUUCAAGAAGUUCAUAUACAUUGUACGACUGAAUCUGACAAAGAAGACACCAUUUGACUUGCUAUGAACAAAGUAUAAUGAUUCAAACUGCAAAUUACUAAUAGACUAUCUAUAGGUUAUUAUGAGAUUUCUUAUGGUCAACUUAAUCUGAUGGACAUGAGAUAAACUCUUGUGAGAAAACUAAGGAAAUCUGAUUCGUAGGACGAGUUUUUCUCUUUCUUUUACCAUGGUUCUAAUGGAGCUGUGGUAAGCCAGCAAGGUGUGACAUUUCUUAUGGCCACCUCUCGCAAAUGCUAACGUGCCAGCUUGCCACCACCUUUUGUGUGAAAUGAAACGAUUGGCUCUCACUCUUAUCACCCAUAUGUCAUAUUUUCAGGCUUGAUGUUAAAGAACGAUGGGAGAGGAAAGCGAACAUGUGAAUUUCUGAAGAUCGUUUAAAUUCUCGGAGCAAAGCAAACCCUCCAUGUAAAUGGGAAAAAAAUCUUUAUGCCUUCUUGAUGACCUAGUUGAAUGUAUUCAUCUUUCUGUUAGCAGGCAGAAUAGCUGGGCGAAAGCCACAAGAUCUAGGCCACAAAUUUCCUGGUUUGCAGUUUUCUAUCUGAUGCCUUGUGCAGGUUAUGUAGCUAGAUAUUCCUAUUUUAAGUACCUGUCCAGAUCUCUUGUUGGGUACUUCAGGCCCACGCCGCGCAGGUUAUAGAACAUCCUGCUUAGCGAGACAGGGAAGGUAUUGAAAAUCCUGUUUCAAAUGUUGUGUACGAUUAUGACAUGCUGCUGUUGCUGCUUUUACAGCAAAUUAUAAGUUUGUCCCGGUUUAUUUUACCUCCCUGAGCCCUUGUGGGCCACUUGCAUGAUGGCUUAG
rnacentral:lncRNA from 1 species